rnacentral:lncRNA from 1 species
ACCGUGUCCAGCAGCCCCCUCAAAACCCACGGUGCUUUCAGGCAGCGACGAACCGGCGGCGACCCCCACCCGUCCACCCGCCGCCACUCCGUCCAGCGAUGGCGUUCCGGCUGAGCAACAACCUGAUCGGGAUCCUAAACUUCAUCACCUUCCUGCUCUCGAUCCCGAUCCUGGGCGCGGGGAUCUGGCUGGGCCAGCGCGCGGACGGCACCGAGUGCGAGCGGUACCUCUCCGCUCCGGUCAUCGCGGUCGGGGUGUUCCUCCUCGUGGUCUCGCUCGCGGGGCUCGUCGGCGCCUGCUGCCGCGUCACCUGGCUGCUCUGGGUCUACCUCCUCGCCAUGUUCGUCCUCAUCCUCGUCCUCUUCUGCUUCACCGUCUUCGCCUUCGUCGUCACCAAUAAGGGCGCCGGGGAGGCCGUCUCCGGGAGAGGGUACAAGGAGUACAGGCUUGGGGAUUACUCCAACUGGCUGCAGAAAAGGGUCGAGAACACCAAGAACUGGGACAAGAUCAGGAGCUGCCUUGAGGAUUCUAAGGUCUGCAAGAAACUGCAGGACAAGAACGAGACCUUCACGCAGUUCAUAUCUUCCGACCUCUCCCCCAUCGAGGUAAUUAUUUAUUUGUUUAUUAUUCAUUCACGUCAAAACUUAGAUCGAUUUCUUCCUUCUUUUAGUAAUACGUAUAUAUUUUUGCUUAAUAAUCACCGAGAGAAACUCUAUUAUCCUUAUCCAUCUGCAUCCAUAAACAGACAGAUUAAAGAAGAUGAUCUUUUCAUGUGUCGUUUUUUUGUAACUUUUAAUAGUGGUUGAGGAUUGUGAUGUGUCAUUUUGGAAGCUAAUCUGCUAAUGUCAAACACUAAGACGAAAAUGUUAUGUUAACUUCUGAAACGCGAAACCUUAUUACUAGCUGAUGAUGGUUACCUGUACGGUUGUGCAUCUUCAUCAGACGUGCAUAGUUUGAACUAUCUGAAAACAGUGCAUCAGACUUAGCGUUGAUUUUGUCAAAGGAUUACUUGCUAUUGUAGUGGUUUCUUCAGUCCCAAUCAACUAUUAGUACCUGCUCCCAAUGCUCUGACCUUUGCAUUAUUGGAGCAGGAAUUUUCGUUCCUAGCACAUGCCUACAUUUCAACGCUCUGGUGCACUUUCACCGGACUUUUAGGUUGAAGCAUCCAAUCAUUUCACGAUACUGCUCCAUUUGGAACCGAUGAUCAACAAAAUUAAAUUAAUUUUACUUGUAUAUAUUCUUCAUGUGACUGGUUUUGCAAGUUUCCAGUCGUCAUACCCAUGAGACAUGAGUAGUAUACGUAGCUCUGUUUCAAAUUUAAAUACUAAUCUCUUUCUUUCAAAUGCAAAGACUCAUGUGUUUGUUUCAAAUUCAAAGACUCAUCCUGUACUGUACGUCUUCUCCCUCUGCAGUCUGGCUGCUGCAAGCCCCCCACCAUCUGCGGCUACACCUACGUCAGCGGCACCAACUGGACGACGCCCGCCAACGCGACGGCGGACCCGGACUGCCAGACCUGGAGCAACUCGGCGCUCUGCUACAACUGCCAGUCGUGCAAGGCCGGCGUGGUGGCCACGGUGAAGCGGGACUGGAAGCGCGUCGCCAUCGUCUGCAUCGUCUUCCUCGUCUUCAUCAUCAUCGUCUACUCCGUCGGCUGCUGCGCCUUCAGGAACAACCGCAGGGACAACGCCUACCGCGGCGGCUGGAAGGGCGGAUACGCCUGAUCCAAUCCACCAUCGUUUGGGGUUGGAGCAGAGCUGGGGCUCGAUCGGCCGCGCCGCCCUGUCACCAUGCACGCUCGCUCAGUGCUCUGCUCCCUGUCUCGUCGUGGUCACUGCCGUAGUACAUGUUUAGUAGGCUCGUCGAUGUAGCUCUGUACAGGUGAUGGAGAUUAUUGUUACCGCCGACUCUUAUCGUCUUCUUAGUUACAUUAUUAUCCUAUUAUGAUCAGAUCAGCUGUAGGUUUUGUAUACGCUGUUCAUUGAUUCGUCAGACUGCUAUUUUUCAUAUAUAUAUAUAUGGAUGCCUUUAUUUUACCAGUUACUUUCGUUUAGGCCUGGCUUUGUCCCGAGUGGCCUGCACCUUUGAUUGUUCAGUGUUCCACUUUCUUUUUUUUUUUUGAGCAAUUAUUCCACUUUCUUUUCGAAACUCUGGAUUCAGGCAUCAUCUUCCGAGGAUGCAUCGGACCAAACUGAAUGCAGCUAUUGCUUCUAAAACCAGCACAUCUCACAAGGUACAUAUAUCCUAAAACACAUAUCACAAGAUGCAUAUAUAUAUCCGAAAACGGAAGAGGAUUAUACCAAGCUAAUUAGUGCUCUUUUCAAGAGCUCUGAGUCAAUUUUCAACUCUGUUUGCUCUCCAUGAUAUUACCUACUACAGUACCUCAAGUUGUUGAGCUAACUACCAUUUCCGGUUCUGAAACCACCAUUGCACUUAUCUCUGUCCUUCCCACACAUUAGCACACGGUUUUCGCGAGGUUGCUACUGACGAAUGACGAUUCCUGACUUGUAAUACCAUUUUCCACGAUGAAGUGAAGUGAUAUAUCAAAGAAAGGAAGACGAAGGCUUUAAAGUCUUCAACCAUGACGAGCGACAUGAAAGCUGUGGUCCUGUGGUGUCCCAUGCCAUGACCAUGAGAGGCAAGUCCAGCCUAACGUGUUCCUCCGGAAAUAUCCACCUCUUUCCACUUCCACUGUGUCUUGCUUGUCGUCUUCGAUGAGCGAUUAAUUCUAUCCUGGCUAGUGGGCAUGCAUGCUUAAAACUGGACUAGGUCCAUGGCAAGAAUCAUCUUCCACUACGUUCCUUGCCAGUUGAGAAAUAUCUAGUAGUGUCAAAUACUAGAGACAGUGAUCGAUUGAAUAUUAGGUGCUAAUAGGGAGUUUAAUUGGUCCAAAGGAUAAAGUACUUCACAUUUUCUCCGUUUGCAAAUGGAAUGAAUCGAUCUAGCUAUCAUCAUCUUACUUCUAAUUAGUACUUGUAAAGUAGUUUUUUUUAAUUAAAUUUAUAGAAUAAAUUUAUGAUACACUAUCUCAUCUAGAAUGCAAUAUUCAUCAAACCAAACCCUUUCCCAAAGGAUGCUAAAACUUAUAUGGGCUGGCAAGAGAGUAACUUUAAUAGAUUGUGAGAACACAUGGGCUGAUGCGUCAUACAGCUGCAAAUGUGUAAAUGUGGUGGUUGUUACUGAUUCCAGAAGUGGCGAUGACUAUUGGCCAAUUGCUGGUGCGCUUGGAAAUAUCUGGAGGGGUUGAGACUGAUGAUUUGAUUUUGCAGAAAAUGAAGUGAGAGAGCCGGCACUAUAUUGUUCGAUGGGACAUGUCACUAGAUGAUCGAGCUUGUUCGCUUAUCUGAAAAACCAUGGCUAAAAGUACUAUUCACUAAUUUAUUAUGAAGAAAAACACUGUUAAAUAGUUAAUAGAUUCAAUACAUAAGUUCAAGUAAGUUCAAGUGAGCAAAUUUGAUACUCCAUGACCUCAGUUCGGAGGCAACCUUGGCUACAAAAAAUAAGCCUUCUCUUUAAUGCAACAUACUACUCUAAAACCACACAUUGCUAACGGUUAAUAAAAUCUGAUUUUCCAACAUCCAAAUAUCAGAGAAGUCUAUCUUCAACUCUAAAACCACACAUUAUACAAACAUCUAACGACUACUCAACCAGACCAAAAGAGAGAGAAGAAACCACCCCCCCCACCCCCACACACACAACAAUAUAAUUUUGCCCUAAUUUUUAUUCCAUAUGGUAUUUAUGUGGUGUGGUUUUCAUACAUCAGGUACUGGUUUGAAGUUCUUUUUUAUGAAACAUGAUUACAAACACAAUCACUCAUCUAUAUAUAUGCACUUCUGUGAAUGCACACACAUGUAAUCUACUCCUUUGAGGACGUCGCGUGAAUGAUCGGCUACCACUUAUAAAACAACACCGUAAAAUCCUACACUAAAUAUAGUAAAAUGCAAACAACCAUGUUAAGUUGAGGUCUUGAGUCUAAGUGGACAAGUUCUAUGACAAGAAACUCAACCAGCUAAUGCUCAGUCCACUAUCCAUUUGAAGUUGAAGGUCAAAAACAGAACUUUUGUGAUAGUUGAAUCUUGAAAUAUAAACUUCGCCCUUAAUAGAGUUUUAAGGAUGAACGUAGCCGAGUCAGCACAACAAUUGACAGCUCUACUACCAUCAUAACCAUGCACCAUGCUUCUCCAACUCGCGCUCAACCUACUACGCCACUACCAUGUAAUCGCUCGGAGCCUAGCACGACAGCCAUGAGCCAAACUAGGCCCACUACGGACGGGAUCAAUCUAGAGCCUAUUUUGUCGACGCCUUUGUCAUCAGAAUGAAGAGGAUGAACGGCCUAGGGUCCUAGGCUGGGGUGGAGGGUAGUGGAGGCAAAACUGGGACUCCGUCCCACCUUGAUUGACAAGAGUUUAAUGACCUAUAGACCUAUAGCAGCUGAACUGUAUAUAUCUAAAAUAUGUCACCAUGACUUGAUACUGAAAUGGACAAUUUGGCUCCCCUCUUGCUAUUGAGCCACGCUCCGCCACUGAUCCUAGGAGGUUUAUGAACAUUGGGGUGCACACCGAGUAGAGAAUGGUGAAGGUGGCAACUUUCAACCUUCUCAAGCUCACCCCACGCUUGAACCAGGCUACAGAGCUCAAGAAGCUUUGUUGCGGUGAUGCUAGAUACUCCCUCCGUCUAAGAAAGAAUAUACUUAUUAAAUCCAUGCCAAUAAAAAAAACUCAAGUUUGAUCUAGUUUAUAGUAAAUAAUAUUAGUAUUUAUGUCUUCAAGUUACAUUUAUUAUCAAAAUAUAUUCUAUAACUAAUUUAAUGGUACUUGUUUUAUAUCAUGAAUGAUAAUAAUUGUUUAUAUAAAUUUAGUCAAAGUUCAAACUAUUUGACUUCUCAAAAAGAGAGAAUUGCAUUCUUUCUUGGAUAGAGAGAGUAUAAGUCUUCAAAUUGCCAUGGGUGCACCAAUAAUGCAUAACUGAGUGAUUCAAGGAAUCAUGUGGAUGACCUCAUUGACCAUGGGUAUGCGAUAAACACAACUAACAUGUGGCUCCCUCUUCGCCAAUUGUAAUCAUACACUUUGCAUAGGGUAUUGUACCAAAAUAUCUAAGGAUACGGUGCGCAUCUAGGAGUGGGCUCUUUGAUAUGUCUCCCCUCAAUAGCCUAUAGGAGUGCUUUCAAGACCACGCUCCAAGUAUGGAUAUAAGAUUCAACUCGCGAACUUGGAUAUUGGUAUGUCGUUUUAACCGUUGGUGCUAAAAAUACAAAGAAUUCCAAAUAUUCUUUUUUUUUUGAACUUGUUAUAAUAUAACUUGUGGGUGUGCAUGCUCUUGUGUAUUAUGCCCCGCGGGGUAAAAAUGCGGGUAUAAUAUUUUACUCGAUAGAUAAUUUCGUUGCAGCUGGGGUAUUUACUCUGUCUGCACUUUACCCGACCCCCCGCUCCAAGUGGGCUACCUCCCCUACUAUAGCAUCCCCACAUUUGAAACGUUGGAAGUUUGAACCAUUAACAAGUUUGAACAUGCAGUUAUCAUGUUCUCAAAUAGAGAUUAGCAUUCGUCGUCGUCGGUAGCAAUGGUUCUGAAAGAUCGAUUCGAGUCUGGAUGCAAUCCGCAUCUACCGUCUGCUUGGAAUCACUGGGUUGGAGAUCUCCGCCCUUCGUGUCAUCCGCUUUACCCCACAGCACGACGUACAGCCCAACGAUGAUGGUAACUGCACCUAAGACGCUGCACAAGAGAGAAAAAAAACACUGAUAUCACUGCCGAUCUUUUUUGAAAAAAAAGAGGAAUUUUAUUCCUAUCUCUGCAAGAGUUUUGCACACAACCAAUUCUUAUUAACGGUUGAUACUUGUCUAGUGAGUAACUGAGUAUAGUGGAAGCAAGCAUACCUUCCAACAUGGAGUUGUUCAUGCAUGAAGAGCGUGGAUAAUAUUGCUGUGAUCACGGCACUCAGCGGCGUAAAGAUGGCGCUGUAGAGGGGUCCUUUCACGGCUAUGCACCAUGAUUGGAGGAAAAAGUUGGCGCCAGACGCAAACACACCCUACAAAAUUUGUUCAGUUUUUUCAUCACUGUAUGCGAUGCAAUUCAAACCAAUGUGGCAAUGUGUAGACGACGGACCAGCGAUCCAGGUGAACUUACUCCAUACAAGAUGCAGGGGAACUCCCAGAACGAGGUAAGCUUCCAAAUCUCCAGGUAAUUGGGCUCCAGGAAGAGCGCCAUGGCCGCGCAUUGCAAGGUCGCUAAGAAGCACAUCCAGGUGGCUAGAGACAGAGGAUCAAGGUAUGAUUUGCAGACCGGCACCUGAAACCAUUCGUCAACUCUCAACCACAGUGAUGAUGUAUCGAAUGAAUCUUGCCAAGAAUGGUCCUGUCAUUGCAAUCAUGCAGUUGUUGUACCUGCAAGAUGUACCAGAUGGAGACGCAGAUAGCAUUUCCCACGAGGUAGAUGCCUCCUUUGACCCAGUCUUUGUCGCUGUCGCUGGUCGCCGAGAGAAGAGCCGCGCCGAGGAGCCCUGGGCCCUUGAAGAACGCCAUGAAUGCUGCUCCGGCGAGGCAGAUGGCGGUGCCGGCGAUCUUGGCCACGCUCCUCAAGCUUCUGAUAUCCACUUUCUCUAGCCUGCGAGCCGGACGGAAGAAGGCGGGAGUAAGAAUUUGGGCUGCUACACACGGCGACGGCGAGGCCUUGGAAUGUUCCUUUCUCGUCGCAGGGCCGGCUAACUGUGCCCACAAAGCAAAUAAACCCAUCUGUAAGAGGCCUGGUUUAGUUCACCCCAAAACUAAAAAGUUUUCAAGAUUCUUCGUCACAUCGAAUCUUGCGGCAUAUACAUGAAACAUUAAAUAUGGACGAAAACAAAAACUAAUUACACAGUUUGUCUGUAAAUCGCGAGACGAAUCUUUUAACUCUAGUUAGUCUAUGAUUAGACAAUAUUUGCACAAACAAACAAAAAUGUUACGGUAGCGAAAUUCAAAAAGUUUUGACAUCUAAAUAAGGCCAGAGUCUGUUCUGGCCCAGUAGUCUAAAAAACGCGAAAUGGUAGGCCCAACUUUCCUCGAAAACAAAACAAAACAGAGAGAAAGGGGAAAGAAAAGGAAGAAGAAAGAGAACACUGUACACAGUCACGUACCCGAUGACGGCGGCGAUGGCGAAGGUGAUGCCGGGGGCGAGGUUGGUGGUGGCCCUGGCCAUGGACGGCGAAGCCAGGUGGAGGCCCUGAAAGUAGAAGUAUUGACCCGUCGCGCUGUCCCAUUCCCGGCGACUGAAUCAGAAAUCAGAGGAAGGCAUGCAUUGACGGGAGGAUCACAAGUAACUGAUGACUCCUCACGUUGCUAGGGAGGCCGCGAAGAGGAGCGCGAAGCCCCGGGCGCCGACGGCCAUGGGCCGCAGCGUGCACCCCCUGGUGGCGAGCGACGCGAGGAGGAGCGUGGCGGCGGCGAUCCCCUGGCGGUAGGCGACGAAGACGAUGGGGCGCAUGCCCAGCCCGUACGCCGUCUUGAGUGCCACGUCCACCAGCGCGUAGAAGAGCUGCACCAGCACCAUCCCCACGCUCGGCCCGCACCGCUCCACCCACGGGGCGCCGGCCAUGGCGCGCGACAGCGAGCGAGAUGCGAGAGCACGGAAAUGUUGGGGGGCGCAGAGAUCAGGAGGCGCCUCCUAUCUCGAAUUCUCGAUCCGCCGCUUCGCUAGGUAAGUAGGAGCAUCCAUGUGCGCGCGUCCCCCUGCGCGCUCGCGGACAAACAAGCAGCUAGAUAGCCGGCUGCCCGCGCGCUGAGGAGUCAGCUGCGCCGUCACUCUUGCAUUUGUUUACGGCCGAUUGUUUGUUUGUUUGUUUGUUUUCUCCUGUGGAGUUCCGUGGUCAAACCAAAUCGUUGAGAUAGAGAAUUGACGGAUAUAUGCAAGUUAAUCAUGCAUGAAAUAUUCUGCUGGAUCUCGUCAUGAACUAGUUCAUGCCGGUGUUGCAUAUGAAAUUAUGAAUCGAUCUGAAUAUAUAAUUUUUUUUUUGAGAAGUGAUCUGAAUAUAUAAUCGAUUGAUUACCAGCAAACUUGGUCGAUUUCUCUUCUUCUUCGUUGCCCGGAUGACAUCGCCGUCUUACAGAGUUACAGGUAGCAUCUCCACCACAUGUUCUGCCAGCAGCCAAGCACCACCACACACUACUCUAUAGCUACUGUACAAUUGUAUAUCCACAGUCCUUGUCGCAUUCAACACCUCAUCAGCUUAUAGAUUUCUUUUACUUCUUACUAUGUAGCUUAAGAAUGGCACGCAACACUUUCAUUUUCACAGCUACAAUUGCCUCCGGAUAUACAGCAACCAAAAAGAAUUACUCUGUUCCAUGGAUCAGUUGCGUGCUUGUGCACGCUCCCUGCCCUGCCACGAGAGGUGCAGCGAGAGUGUUCUCAAGAUCAAGCUGAGAGUGAGAGUGAAGGUGCGGCUCCACCUCCACGUCCGCCGCCGCGGCCUUGGCGCAAUCUUUCCUUCUCAGAGCCGGUGGUAUCCUCCCCGUCCUGGCGUCCUCUGCUUUGCCCCACAAGACGAUGUAAAGGCCAGCGAUGACGGCCGCAGCCCCUACCAAGCUGGACGGACAGCAAAGAAACACAAAACCAAUCAGUUCUUGGCGCCAUCACUCCCUGAUCCAAGAACGGUUUGUUGCUUGAUAACAACGCCAAAGAACUGAAGGAACAAUCAGGUAUGGUAUAUUCAGGUCUGUCUUUUUCAGAGGAGGAGGAGGAGGAGAGAGCGUGCCUUCCGACGUGCAGCUGUUCGUGGAGAAUGGCGGCGGAGAGCGCGGUGGUGAGCACGGUGCAGAGCGGGGUGAACAUGGCGGAGUAGAGAGGGCCCCUCACCGAGAUGCACCACGACUGCAGGUAGAACACCGCACCAGACCCAAACACGCCCUGCACUCACGACGAGUCUGUUUGUUAGCCAACAAGUUCGGUCUCAUCUUCCGAUUGCAUAGUAGUUCCUGAAACGGAGUGGCACUGACCGCGAAGGCGUAGCAGGAGAGCUCGAAGAGCGAGUGGAUCCUCCACGCGCUACGGUCCGGCAGCAGGAAGAAAGCGACCACGGCGGAUUGCAGGGUGGACAGGAAGCAGGUCCAGGCCGACAGGCACAGAGGAUCCAUGUACCGUUGGCAGAUAGGACCCUGGAAACAAAAUUACCAAGCCUUUUCUUGUACAAGUAGUAAAAUUCUGACGGUUGUUUAGUCUAGGCAUAUAAUGGUCGCAUAGGGGAUUCACCUGCAAUAUGAGCCACAAGGACCAGCAGGAGCUGCUGCCGACGAGGAAGAGCGCACCCAUCACCCAGUUGUCGCUGCUAAACUUAUGCAGAAUCAUGGACGGGUCACUGAGAAAUUGCAUCGGCAGCUUUGGACCUUUGAAGAACGCGAUGGUGAUGGCUCCUCCCACGCAGACAGCCGUGCCUAAGAUCUUAGCCGUACUACUUACUUCUCUGAUGUUCACUCUUUCCUGCCUUUUGAUGAAUUUCAUGCAAAGAUUGACAUUAGCACUAACAUUAGCAAUGCUUUUCUCUGGCCUAGAAAAUUACAGUCAGGGAAAAACGUCUCUCAAAAGAAGCAAAUGUCAAUUCCAAACACGCUAGAUGGAAUGGUUAUUUAAUGUUAGAAUUUAUAUGAAUAGCUCCCCUAAAUUCAUACGAAGAAAUCCUAAUAAAUUUCAAAAACCCAAUACAUGUGUUCAUUAAUGGGCUUUAAUGUUUAAACCCAUAAGUAGAGGUGUGAGGUAUAAUAUCUAUUAGUACUAUAUUGCUAACUGAUGUGGAGGCAUAUAUAUUGGAAAUUGCAAUUGCAAAAAUCCUAAGGUAGUAUUUUCGUCUUCUUGCUAUUGUGCUGUCGGCGGCCGUAGUCUCUCUAUCCUGACCGUCUGCAUGUACCGGUGUUCGGGAGAACAGGUUCAGGAUAGGACGAAUAAGAUUUUUGGAAAACGCUCUUCACGCGACUGCUCUCGACUUCUAUGGCGGGUCGUCUACCAUCCAACGGCGUCCCCACCAGCACCUUCAUCACCUGCGAUGAUGUCUCUCUCUAAGGUACACACCUUGUGAACUAAUGUAUCGGUUGAUGUUGUUUAAUCUAACUAGUAGAUGAUCUAUGAUUACACUAGUUCUUGUAUUCAUGUUGUUAAAUUAUGAUAGUAUACGAGCUAUGCUUAUACCAGUUUUCUGAGAUCUUCAUGAUUUAUAUUCUGGUUUUAGUCUAAAAAUUGCUAAUUAUUUAAUCUUUAUGAUGAUACUUUUUUUUAAUAAAAGGAACAACUUCUAUCUAAUCAAUGGUCUGUAAUUAUUAUCUUGUGCUGAAUAAAAAGAAGAAAUAGAUAGAAAAAACACUCCUGAAUCUAGUCAAUUAUUCAGAUGUGCCCAUAAAAGUAGGAUUUAUGUACAUGUGUUCAUUAAAGUGAAUAUGCGUGCAUUAUUAGUGUCUGCAUUAUACUGUAUAAUUCUUAAAAAAAACAGCCGUCCUAAUGAGCGGAGAGGAGUAACAUGAACCCAUGAUGCAUUGCUGUACAAGUUUAAUGAACCAAAAAUGUAUUUUUAGAGCUCGUGGGGAUAUACCCCAUCCAAAGUUCAGUGUUGAUGAUAUAUUUAGCUCUUUUAUUUAGGAAUCUGUGGCAAAUCUGCAAUAGGUGAUAAGCAUUAGUGAAUUUAGCAGAUUAAGAAACAAAAUGUAGUUUUCUAUUAUUAUAAUUGAGUUGUCUGUAAUGGUUGGUCGAAAGUAGAGAUCGAGACCAAACGGCACUGCACACAGUGAUCGCCUGAUCGCAAAAGACAAAGAUAGUAUGCAAUGCAUGUGAGUUGCUAGGUGACACGCCAUCCCAUGUCAUCAUAGAGACUAAUAUAACAAGCAAGCCUUGUGUUCGUUAGUGGCCUCAGAUCAUUGGCUAGUCAUUGUAACUACGAUCCCUCAAAAUAACCUAUCGAGCAACUGUUGUGCAAAAAUACACCUAGAACUACUGACAAAUAGUUCAAACUCUAAUAUCUUCUUAAUGGAACACUUUUCUAGUUACUCACCCAACGGCUACUGCCAUGACGAAGGUGAUCGCCGGUAUGAGGUUCGUCAUGGUCGUGGCCAGCGACGACGUCCCCAGGUGUAACCCUUGGUAGCACAGGUUCUGAUUCGCUGUAGCUCUGUUGCACAAAGAAACUGUCAGAGUUGCCAACUGCCAAGAACAGAGGAAGCAUGAUGUUCGAGCGAGCAAGAUUUUGUUGAGAAGCUAACAAGAAUUUAUAGGUACUCGCACCCAAACAAAGCCGCCAGAAACACCAAAAGGAAAGCUUUCAUUCUCAUUCCCACUCUCAUCUCCUUCAGCCUCGCCCUGAUGAGUUCAGACAUUAAAUAAUCACAGCUACUAAGAUCACACAAGCGGUUGGGGAAGAGAAAGAAGAGCAGCAACACUGGUGGAUCAACUCGUAUCGUACCGAUUGGCGAUGAUGGCUAUCGGGGCAAGGACAAGGGUGGCGACGGCCUGCCUGUAGACGACGAAGACCAUGGGGCUCAUGCCCCGCCCGAACGCUGCCUUGACCCACAGCGUCAUGGCCGCGAAGAUGCACUGCGUCGUCACCAUGGCCACGCACGGCUUGUAGUUGUAGCCCUCCGCACCCGCACGGGUGCCUCCGCCGGCCAUGUUGGGCCAGGCACUGGAGUGUGUCGAUCUGCGCGCGCGCCGGAGCUGAGAACGAGGGACAGAGAAAGGGGAGGAGGAGUUGGAGGAGGAAGAGUUGCAAGACCGUGCUAUGGAACUGUCUUCAUCUGUGGUGGCCAUCACCCAUCAGAGCCAGCCCCAGCCAGGCUUUGUAAACGCCUGGCCUGGGGGUGGAGUGGGGGGGAACAGGGGAAUCAUCGCAUCAGAGUGACUACAUCGUACGGUUGGCAGAUAGCCAUGCACCGCCCACCGCCACCCAAGACGUCUUCUUUGCCGAUUUGGCGACAACCAGGAGAUAUCGAUUUAUUUCAUUAAGAAUUUAAUGCUGUAUAUAAAUAUUAGUGCAUAUCUAUUACUCCCUCAACUUAUAGAGUUAUUCUAAGUCAAACUUUUAAAACUUGGACAAUUAGUGUGGUCGCUCUCUUUUGUUGGGAUCUCCUCCGUAGGAAUCGGGCGGCACCCUGUUGACGAGGGGGGUAGAUUGUGCUGCCCUGUGCUCUUGUCUUCUGCCAGUGCAAGAGGAAAAUAAUCCUCCGAUUGAUCAGCCGCGUUGCGGAGGUCCACACUCGCAGUCACAGGUCCGCUCCUUGCCGGCACACGAAAAGGAGGAAGGUCAGGACGGAGGCGGCGGCGUAGACGCACGGAAAUGUUCUGAUCGGGCAUAGAAGGAAGGGAUCAAGGGGACAGAUGAAUAGUUUGGUGCACGGGCUUGGGUUUGGACUGGCCAGGCCCAAGUGGGACCCAGGAGAAAAUAAUCAAUAAAUUAUUUAAUUAAUUAGCUUGAUUGCUUUGAGAUCAGUGAAAUUUUUAGAAAAAGGAGUAUUGGAGCAGUAGCCAUUUUCAUAAGGUACUCAUUUUAUAUCAUAGAUAUUGAUGCUCUUUUUCUAUAAAGUUAAUCAAAGUUAAAAGAGUUUGACCGGCACGGAUUCUAGAAGUUGAAACUUUCAGAAACAAAGGGAAUAUAUUACUUCGAUCAAAAUUAUAUCUGUAAUUUACAACUAAACUUAAAAGGCCCUAGGACUUCAAAUCAACGCUUGGCGGGAUCCAAAAAAUCGAGACAUUGAUGUUAUAUAGUAUAAAUAUCACCCUCUGUCCUAACUUACAUAUGAUUUUAGCUUUUCUAGAAACUAGCUUUUGAAUAUACGGCAUUGUCUAGAUACAUAAUAAAAGUUGUUAAUAUAAAAAAACCCAAAACAACCGAUAAAUUGGAACAGAGGGAGUACAAUCGUGCUAAAAUCUAUGGAUCAUCUCUUCCACAAACAGUGUUUACAAAGUUACUUGAUGACAACAACACUCGAAGUGUGGCUUCGCACCUCACUGCACACAUAUCAUAAUUCAUUUGGAGGGUGAUUGGUUGGCCGCAUAUGCUUGGCUAGGUUGGUGUAAUGCAAGUUUUGUUUGUUUGUUUGGUUGUACUAUCUUCUAAGCCUAGCUGGCAGGAUGCAAAAGAGGCCUCUCAUCCUACAUUUAGGCGUUUUUGGAUAGCCAGGCUCACUAGAUGCAGGUACUUACUCAGCAAAUGUUUUUAUUAGUGUAAUUAGUAAGUAUCAAGUGAUAUUAAUGUGUUUUUUUUAAAAAAAAUAUAUGUGUAAUUUAGAACUAAACUUAAAAGGCCAUAUGACUUCAAAUCCAAACACGUGAAACGCUUGAUCAGUUGGCACACGGCCACGCAUGGUGGGAUCCAAAAAAUUGAGACAAUAAUGAUGUUAUCUAUCCCUAAUAUUUAAUUGUAAAAAUUUCAGUCUGCCCUUCGAAUUUCUGUCUGCCACCCAUGCCAUUUUUUUUACCGUCUCCGUCUCUGAGCGGAGAACCUGAUGACAAACAAUUUAAUCCGUUGUGCAGAGGCCCUGAUCUGCUGGCCUGGGUGCCGAACUGCAGGCUGCCGCUGGCAUGGCGACAGGAGGCAGCGGAGGAGAACAUGGAGGGAAGCGAGUAGGAGGCCCAACUCACCUGCCGCCAAGGAGCUCGCCCGUUGCGGAGGCCCAGCGUGCUCACCGAGGGUGGAAUCAGCGCAACAGCGGCUAUGAAACCCUAGCCACGUCCGCCGCGCCGCCGCCGCACCGCCAGGCCGGUCCGCCUUGGGUUUUGUUCUUGGGAGAGAGGAGAGGAGCGUCGGGCAUAGAGAGACAACGUCGGGGGAGAUGGAGGGCCACACGUGGGGUAGGCGACGGACGGGCUGAGGCAUGGUUUUUUUUGCAUAUAUUAUAUAUCUAUCCUUCUAUCAUUUAAUAUUUAAUUAUAAAAAUACCAGUUCACCUGCUUUUCUGUCCGCCACCCACGUCAGCCUUUUUUAACUGUCUUCGUCUCGUCGUCGAGCUCCGACCAGUCCCCGGCGCCUCCUGCGCCAUAGUGGUAGCUAGGUUGGUAGUCGUUGUCUAGGAUCUUGGACCAGUCCAAGAUCUUCACUAGCAGCGACCCGUGCACCGUCCGGCGCCAGUUUCGCUGGCGACGCCUUCCGUGCGGCUAGAAACUGGCCUGCCCUGGCCGUCUCAGGAGGCUCGAACGCGCCCUAGAUGUCCGACUCGUCGAAGUGCUUGCCUGUGCCACCGGCGGUAGCUACCGAGCUCGCUGUUGGCACAAUGACGUCGUACGACGCCUGCGAGAAGUGGGUGUGGGUCUCAUCUCACCUAUAUUAGGACUUCCACUCCAUAUUGGUUUAAACGCAAGUUAUUCUAACUCGUAUGAGCACGAGUUAUAUGUGUCCAGAUAAAAGAAACUCUCCAUCGUUCGGUAGUUAGAGGAAGACAGACAAAAAAUGGAUGGACGAAAAAAAAAGCCUAAAUUUUUGCCUCUUCAUUAUUAGGUAGGUAUACAUAUAUAUACAAUUGGAUAAUAAAGAUAUAAAUAUAAAUUUGAUAGUUAUUUUUUUUUCUGUUGCAACGCACGAGUAUUUUUGCUAGUACAGCCGUCCUAACUUACAUAUGGUUUUAGCUUUUAUAGAAACUAACAUGUUCCGAGUUGGUCUAAAUGGGCCUUGUUAUGUCCAUCUGAUUCUACUGGGACAAUGCUUGCGUCUUGGACCUGGCCCGAUGAGGCCUAUUUUUAGGACUGUGAAGCGGCGGCAUGUGCGCCAUGUAGUCUCAGCAGGCCCAGACCCAGUCAGCCCACAAGCUAGAGAGAGUUGGAGACGACGGCGAGCGGACCGGACUGGAGUUGGAGACGACAGGGGCGGCGGGGGUUUGCCGCGUUGAUUAGCAAAAUCUUGCGGAUAAUACACAUCGGCAGCACGUAGAUCAAGUCAAACUCCACCAACCGGCCAUUUUGAAACUGCUAGAGUACUGUACAUGACCAAAAAAAAUGGGACUGCGCGCACUGCGCCAGUAGCAUAACGACGACCCUGAAACACGGCGCACGCACAGAACACUGAGGAGCAAAAAAUCCCCUCUACUUCGCCGUUGGAUCGCCGCCGGCCAGGAGGGGCUCGGCGAUGCCAUUGCCGACGUCGACCAUCGAAUCCGACCGCGCCGACGUCUUCUCCAAGUCGUCGUCCGAGUGCUGCUCUGGCUCCUGGUCCUGCAGCCCCCGCCUCUUGGCGUCGCCCGCUUUGCCCCACAGCACCACGUACAGCCCCGCGAUGACGGCGAUCGCGCCCAGCAAGCUGGAGAUCCAUCGCUCGGUCAGCCACAAAUAAAAGAUCGAUGUCAUCGCUCGGUCAUUCACAUGCAUAUUACGAACCUGCCGACGUGCAGCUCUUCACGGAGGACGGCGGCGGCGAAGACGGUGGUGAUCACGGUGCAGAGCGGGUUGAACAUGGCGGAGUAGAGCGGGCCUCUCACCGAGAUGCUCCACGACUGCAGGUAGAACGUGACGCCUGACCCCAACACCCCCUGCACAUUACAUCGCCAUGGCAUCGAUCACCUCCAAGGUCGUUCCUCCUCUCCGACGGGGCGGCGACGGGCAGAGAGAGGAAGAGGAAGCAUGCAUGGUUGACGACAGUUACCGAGAAGAGGCAGCAGGAGAGGUCGAAGAGCGAGUGGAUCCGCCAGGCGGCAGGGUCCGGCAGGAGGAAGGCGACGAGCAGCGCGGACUGGAGCGUGGAGAGGAGGCACAUCCACGCCGACAGCGCCAGCGGGUCCACGUACGACUUGCAGAUGGGCACCUGCAGGAUGAGCCAGAGCGACCAGCAGGAGCUGCUGCCCACCAGGAAGAGCGCGCCCGCCACCCACCUGCUGCUGCCGCCGCCCGCCGCCGGCGAGUGGAGGGGGAGGAGGAGAGCGUCGUGCAGGUCGCCCAGCAGCAGCUUCGGGCCCUUGAAGAAGGCCAUGGCCAUGGCGCCGCUCACGCAGACGGCCGUGCCGAAGAUCUUGGCGAGGCUCCGAGGCCUCCUCACCUCCACCCUCUCUAGCCUGUCGUUGAUUCAGGGAAUCAGAGAUGGAUGGAGACAUCAGGCGACAGUAGCAGCAGAUUUCACAUUUUCUUUUUUUCUGGACGAAUUUGAGCUCAGAAACAUAUAUAUUUCUCAGGUAAUUCUAGACGGGUGAUAUUUUUGUACUGUCUGUGUCGAUCUGUGUGUUAUUGAAGUACGGACUACGUAGUACUGUACUGCUCUUGCCAAUUCACGAAGCUAGCUAGAAACAGAUCUAAUGGAAGACGAUCAAUAAUGGAACGACUACUGGAAUAUUCUGGUAGCUAGCUAGUGGACGUCCCAAAAUAAUCUAGCAUAGCACGAAAAAGUGUGCAUUAACCUACUAAUCAUUUUGUCUUUACUUAAAACUACAUACUGGAGUACUUAGACUAUCUCCAACAAUUAUUACCCAAAAUACAAUACCCAUUUAUCCUUUGGGUAGCGCUACAGGUAAAAAGUUUCAUACCUAUUUUUAGUCUUCUCCAACAACAAGACCUAAAAGACAACACUCUCUGCAAAUAGGUCUCAAGGAGAGAGGAUACCCAAAUUUGGGUUAUGCAUCUCCUGAUACCCAAAAUGGGUCUGUUGGAGGCUAUAGGUAUUGUGUUGGAGACCUAUUUUGGGUUUGGGUUCCCAAAUAGGUCUCCUAUUGGAGACAGUCUUAGCAAGGUGGUACAUGAAAAGGUACUACUAUGCAUGUGUUCUUCAUGAACAUGGCCUUGUUUAGUUCGCAAAAAUUUUCAAGAUUCUCCAUCGCAUCGAAUCUUUGGUCGCAUGCAUGAACCAUUAAAUAAAGAUAAAAAUAAAAAUUAAUUACACAGUUUAACUGAAAUUUGUAAGAUGAAUCUUUUGAGCCUAGUUACUCCGUGAUUGGACAAUAUUUGUCAAAUAAAAACGAAAGUGCUACAAUAGCCAAAAAAGCAAAAUUUUGCGAACUAAACAAGGCCAAAUAUUCUGAAUGCUGACAAAGAGUCAGACUGUCAGAAUAAGUAUGCAUGACCUGAAUCUUGAAUGUUUGGAAAAGAAAAAUUAUAUAAAUCCAAAGAGUAUGCCCGAACUCCAUUAUAAACUUAUGGUUAUUUAUUCAAAAAUAAACUUAUGGUUAUUGGACAGUACAUUUAAUUACAAAUUCAAUAGUAUCACUAUAUACUAGUUAGAAGUUGUAGCAAAGUUAUUGAUCAAAGAUUACAAGUUUAGUUUUUUGACCUACACGAAACGUCUUAUACUGGACCGCAGGUGAGUGAUGUGGUCAUGUGGAGCUUUGGUCCAGAGCACCCGACUAAUAAUGCAAGCCAUGGAGCCAAACUAACGCAGUACUAUGCCAUAUUAGACGAGACAGUGGAUCGAGCAGAGAAACAGUGCUCCACUAGCUAAUUUGCUGAUGAAACGGGAUCCCUCUUCCCUGUCAGUGUCAGGUACUCACCCGACUGAUGCUGCCAUGACGAAGGUGAUGGCCGGAAUCAAGUUGGUCAUGGCCGUUGCCAUCGACGACGAGCCCAGAUUCACCCCUUGGUAGUACAAACACUGAUUCACUGUCGCCCUGUCGCAUGCAUAGAGCAAAACUUGAUGUCAGAACAAAUAAGAAACUGAAGAGGUUUAUUUCCCUCUACGCUGUAGGUACAGGCUUCUGUGACCGAUCGAUUAGUAUUGCUACAUAUAUACUUGCAUACCCGACAAGAGAGGCGACGAAGACCAAGGAGAAGCCUGUCAUUCCAAGGCGGCCCAUCAUCUCCUUCAUCUUCCUCCUGCAUGCAGACCCACGAGCCAUGGCGGACGACAAGAAUCAGGUUUCUCUAUACAAUCGAAGUUGUCAAACUAAAAUUCCAGCAAAAAUAUGAAGACAUGCAUGCACCUGUUGGCCGCGACGGCGACGGGGACGAGCACAAUGGUGGCGACGGCCUGCCUGUAGACGACGAAGACCAGGGGGCUCAUUCCGCCGGUGAACGCCGCCUUGGACCAGAGCGCUAGAGCCGCGUAGAUGCACUGCGUCACCACCAUGGCCGCACACGGUUUGUACUCCUCCAUGCCCAUGGCGGUGGCGGUGGCGGCGGCUACAGCUGCUGCGCGCAGAGCCUGCCGGUGCUUGGCCUUCGUUAUUACGGCCGGUUGUUUUGGCUUUUAGGCUCGACGUGCACGCUGCUGAGGUGGGCAGCUCAUAUAUAGCUAGGCGAUGAAGGAGUAGCAGGCUGGCACACGGCACACAGGAAGACACUGGUGGUUGUUACCUUACUUCAUUCCAAAAUAAGUGACGAUUUUCACUUUUUAAUUAAUAUCGCGUUUGACUAUUCUUUUUAGUCAUUUUUUUCAAAUUAUAAAUAAAUAAAUAAAUCAUUAUUCCUCUAACGGUAAAGUAAGAUAUAAUAAAAUAGAUAAUAUUUAUAUAAAUAAUUUAAAUAAGACGAACGAUCAACGUCUAAAAGUAAAAAAAUAAAAAGAGCAGAAUAGUAGCAGCAGCAGCUCAGAGAUACCUGCAUGCAUGUGCUCGCACGACACUGUUGAACGUGUCUCCUAUCAUAAGGAUCGGUGGCUACAUGGAUGUAUAUCACGAAAGUUUAUUUCUACAUGUGCUCACAUGGUAGCUAGCUAGCUAGUAGAGUGAUGGAAGAAACUGGAAUGUGGUGUUCGCAGUCACAGUAAGUACUCCGUACCCUUGUUUACUUCUAAAAAAAUUUACAAAAUUUUUCAGAUUUCUCGUCACAUCAAAUCUUUAGACGUAUACAUAGAGUAUCAAAUAUAGACAAAAAUAAAAACUAAUUGUACAGUUUAGUCAGAAUUGACGAGACGAAUCUUUUGAGUCUAGUUAGUCCAUGAUUAGACAAUAUUUCUCAAAUACAAACAAAAGUACUACAGUGUCGAUUUCCCAAAAUUUUUUGAAACUAAACAAGACGCAAUUAGGAACCUCUCCCAGAACAUUCGCCUUGUUCGUUUGAGCUGAACAAAUAGGGGACUGGUCCGUGUAAUUGAGCUUUAAACAUUCAUAAACAAUACCGAAAUUACUGUUUGCUCAAUGGAGUUAAGUUAGGCAAGAGAGGCCAUGGCUCAACUUGGCCUCAAAGCUAAGCUCUGCCCCGGCAAGUAUAUUUUGAACAACCUAAUUCUUUUUUCAAAAACCUUUCAUAACGUUGUUUCCAAGGUUGCCAUGUCAUGUGAAAUGAAAUAAAACUUGAAUGAAACACCAACUCUAAUGGAGAGUAUUAUUCCACGGUUUUAUAGGCAUUUUAUUUCAAGACUCAUAGAGAGUUGGUAAUCGUGCCAAGAGAGUUUCAUCUAGAUGAAACUCAUUUCUUCUCUCUCUUCUUAAAUACAGUGUCAUGUCAUCCAAAAUACUUAUGUGGCAGCCUAUUUAAUGUGAAUGAAACUCAGAUGAAACUCCCAUAGAGACUGGCCUUAGUUUUGUUCUAUGUUAAAUAUUUUUUUUUGUCUUUGACCAUAAAUUUCAAGAAAUUCAUAUAGUUUCAGACCACGUGAACAUAUAUAUAUAUAUAUAUAUAAAUAAAUCUUAAAUUGUUAUACUACUAUACAAAUUUUUAUAAUUGAUAGUAAAAAAAAAUAAAAAAAUAUUUAAUUUAGGACAAAACAAUUUUAUAAAUAUAACUUAAAACGGAGGGAGUAGUAUACUAAUAAUUAGUAUCGGCUCAUGUAAAAGUGAAACUAUAAAAAAUCUGACCACAUAAAAUACUUUUGUGGGGCUGAAAAUUUGUGGGACUUUUUCCAUGUCAACACAGCCACCUACAUGGUUUUCACCAAAAUAUAUUUCUAGAAAGUUUUAUCAAAUAUUUGGAUAUCUAAAUUGAUUUAAGUGGAGGAGUUAUACAGACACUCAAGUAGGCAACACUCGCCUUAAAAAUAAAAGCUGACCUUGUUACGAAAACCAAUAAAAGAUUUAGAGCUUUUAUAAGUUCUCUGGAAUUUGAAACUUUAGUUAAAUGUGUAUUAAACCUUCUCUAACUUUCCUCAUAUAUGAAUUUUUAUUGUAGAAAACUUUCCUCAUAUAUGAAUUUUUAUAGUAGAUGUGUACAAUUCACUGAUACUUACACUCCCUCUCGCAUGCAAGCUUCUCGUAAAGCUUUAAACAUGAAAAAUAUGAUUCAAGCUCAAGUCAUCUAGUUCUGGAACUACAUUAAGUUGCAUGUGCUGGCCAUUUCAAUUAGGAAGUUCAAGUGGAUACAAAAAAAAGUGCAAAUAACUCAAGACGGCUUCAACAAUUAAUGCGUAUACAUUGAUACUUUUUUUUUUGUGCUCUAUACACAAAAUACUAUCUGUCCCUCUUUAUUAUUUUUGCUCUGUUAUUUCUCAACCAAGCAGUGCCCAAUAAUGGACAGGGUUGUCCGUGGUAAAUUAAUCUGGCAAUGGUACAAUGGAUCAACAAGCGCCUCAGACGACAUGGGAUGAUAUCUUGAUAGAUUGGGACGACUGUGAUGGCUCACGGAUGGUGGUGGCAUGGAAUCAUGGAUGAGUGGUGCCGACUUCUACUGGGAGUGUUAGUGUGUCACAUAAAGCAGGAGAAUCAUGCCUAGGGUUGUUCAUAGGGGUAGAUAGUGACACAUCAAUAAUUUCUGCAACUAGGAGACAACUGGCAACAAAGGAGGGUCAUAUUUGUUUAAUUUGUAUGGUCACCACUGAGAGGCUUCUAGAGUGAAGUGCCUAAUGCUGUUUUUUGAGGCCGAAGCCGAAGGUAAGUCUGAUAGCCCCAGGUGUUUUUGGAAGUAAAGUCGUACAAUUUUUUUUUGAACUUCAACUUUUUUAAGGUAAUGGUUUUCGAGAUCUCGUCGUAUAGAAGCCAAGUUAAAACUUGUUGAUAGGCCCUAUAGUUAAGUCGUGGAGAGUAAAAUUAUUUUACAAAAUAAUCAUGGAUGUAAUGCAACAUAUAUCAUUGGUCAAAAUCAUGUUUCAGCAGGUACCAUAUCAACAUUUGAAAUGGAGCUCUUCUGUAAUUAGAAAAAUACUAAGAAAGUAGCAGGGAUGAUGGCCGGAUUUGCUAACACCAUAAACGAAUUUCCCUUUUCUAGGUCCGAGAAGUUGUGACAGCGAGGUGCAUCUCUACUAUAAUUGAAAUCUUCUUAAAGUCACAUCCCUCCUUCAAAAUCAACGGCUCACUAAACACAAACUAGGAAUCCAACGUCUGAGAUUAAGAUGUUAGAAGCCGCUUUCAACUAACCUGAGUCCCGCGCCCGCCCGCGCCAACUCUGCCGGCAAACCCUCACGUGUGCGCGCCGCGGCGAGGUUUCGAACCAACAGUCCGCUAUUUUCUCCGAGAAAAAAAAGAAACAUCGUCCGCGGCGGAACAGCGCGAGGUCCUCCGUCUCGUCGGCGUCCGGGAUGGCCGGGAGCGUGCGCGGCGGGAUGAGGCGCGGCGCGAGGAGGAAGACGGCCAGGACGGAGAGCACCAGAAGCAGCAGCGACAGCACGUACGGCGAGGCGGCGUACGAAGACGCCAUCUCCCUUGCUCCUCAGCCUCGCGACUGGCGAUCCUCUCUCUCUCUCUCUGGUCGGAACAGAAGAGAGAACGGGACACGAAACCUCCGCCGGCUCAGGUGAGGACGUGGGGUCGGUUCCCUGCCACGCGCGGGCCGGAUCUCGCCGCCGCCACGGAGGAGGACGCGGGCAUCGGCCGCCGCACGAGCGCGCGAAAUCGGGAACCCGCGAACCAGGACCAGGAUGAAACGGAAAGGUGGGGAAGGCAGGCGCGGGAAGGAAACCGCCUGCCGCAGGCGCAGCAACGGGAACCGGCGAGCGGAGUGAGACGGGAAGCCGACGCGGGGAAUGGCGACGCGCGCGGCGGCGGCGGAUCCGAUGAGGGUCUAGAGCCCAAUCGCGCGGCGGGGGGCCGGGGCGGCGGUAGGAGGAGUGGAGACGAAGCAGAGCAGGGGCAGAGGUGGGGAAAGAGGAAGAGAGAGAGACACUUGUGUAUUGGAAGGGGAGUGAAAUGAGAUUUGGGGAGGCGCACAGGGAUACCAUGCAUACUCUAGGAGGCACCGCCGCCAUGGGAAUCAGCCAUCAUGGGGCCUCCAGUCGCGGAGAGACAACCGGCCGCCGCGGGGUUGCAGCUAAGCGUGGCACACGAGGUCCGCCUAGGCUUUGGCGAAGGGCAUGGUGGCUGCGCAUCCAGGAUGGCCAGUGCAUUUGAAGUAGCCCUUGAGCUUCAGCGCCACGCGCUCCUCCAUCGCCGCCGCCACCCCUGCCACAUCCAUGGUUGCCGCCCCGCCCCGUCUGAAAUUGCCUCUGCUGUGAGUGGAUCGACCACCGGCAGCCCCGGUUCAUCAAUAAGAAGCGGACCAAAGAGGCGGCGACGCGGCUCCGCCUAACUGCGGUGGCAUGGCUCCAAGGUAAUUUGUGCCUUGUCAUCUUCCCCGUUCUAGGAUUUCUGUAAUUGAAGGUGAGCAAUUCUAUCUGUCUAAGAUCUAGAAAUGUUCAGUAGAAGUAAAGCUACAAAUUUUAGUGGUUUCAGCAUUGAUCUUAAAAUGUGCAGUGAAAUCUUACAAGCCGAUUGAUCCAUUGACCUGUCACUUUUUCUGAAAUCUGGGGAAAAAAAUUUCCUAUGAUUUCGAUCUUUUUCCUGUUUUUGCUCUAACCAGUUUUGUUUCCCUACUACGUGCAUCGACUUGCCAUUUUGGCCAACCUGACAACUUAAGUUCAGCGAAAGGCAACAACAAAAACAGUGACUGGGAGACAAUCAUUACAUAAGGUGCUUGUCAAGACUAUCAAGGCGUAGCGUCAUUGGCGCGUACAACUCACUAAAUCAAGGAAACCAACACAUGUAUGUCAGCUUGCUUGCUGUCCAUUGCAACCUUCGUGAAGAGUACAAGUAGAAUGCCUAAAUUGUUUGGUACUUUGAUAAUUACCUGAAACCCGUCAUCAUGUAUUGGAUACAUUGUCCACACUGCUUUGAGAGAUAAUAGACGGUAGCAUGCUAAUAUAAUAUUUUACUACCAGAUGCAUUAUGUACCUUUUUUCUAAUUCUAAUUGCCUUUUGCAGAUUCAUCCUAUUGCUUUUCAAUUUGUCAGCACGUUCAGGGUACUAACCAAGCCUAUUUCACUGAAUGUUUGGGACUUGAUUCUUCUAAGAAGCAAUUUUGUGAGUCAUCGAUAUGUUAAGGAUUCAUUCUUUAAUGCUGGUUUUUUCUAUGGUGUUUGUUGAUCCUUCUCAUUACAUGGAUAAGUUUUUUUAUUUAUUCUUGUGAUUCUAUAAUAUAAUUGUUUGUUGGGAACCACACCUUUGGAAUAACUCAGGAACUUAAAUUAGGAUUAAGUUGUAAACUAUGCAGCAUAUCAAGAUCUCUUUUUUUUUCCUGAAGUGUGAACUGUUUAGUUUUAAUAAGCAUGAAGGAUGAACCUAUUUGUUGCAUUUUUAUUUGACAAACUCCUAUUUUGUAAUGGGUUAGAGCAACUCCAACAGCUUUGCUAUUCUUAUUAUGGAGGCCUUUUAGAACUUUUAUAGUAGAAAAAUAGGCUCCAACAUAUGUGCUAUUUGGUUUUGUAAAAUAGAAAGUUUGCUAUCCCUUGAUUUUCGUUGGCCAUAUAUAGCCAACCACUGACACUAGCUAUCUGAUAGCAAGGCUGUUGUAAACCCCUCUUCUUUUUUAAAAAAGUUAUCUAUUUUACAAAAUGGCUAAACAUUAGAAUUUAGCUACUUAUUUUAGCCAAGCUCUUGGAGAUGCUCUUAGGAAGCUGAAGGAAUUGUAUAUUUAAGAUGGAAACUCAUGGGGCAAAGCCGGUGAUUCCAUAGGAUAAAUAUCCUUCCUUUUUCCUAGCAGGACCAUAUAAUUACAAGACCCUCAUGAAGUUGAGAAUGCCACUUGGACUUCACAUUAACAUUAAUACUCACUCUAUUCAACUCUUAGAAUCCAUGUCGGUCAAAUUUUUUUGGAGUUUGAUCAACUUUAUAGAAAAUAGCAUCAAUAUGUAUGAUACAAAAUUAGUAUCUUAUGAAAAUAUAUUCUAUGAUAAAUCUAAUUAUAUUAAUUUGGUAAUAUAAAUCUUAGCGUUUUUUCUAGAAUUUCGGUUAAAGUUUUAAAAGUUUGACUUACCAUGCCAUGUUUCUGGUUAUUUUUAGAUGCUGGUAUAGUUGCUAAUGAUGCAGAAUUAUUAUAGAUUUUCUAUGUUAUUUUCCAUGGUGAACAUGCUACAAAGAAACUAUAACACUCCAAAUUUUUGAAUUUGAAAUUUAGUUUGAAUUUGAUUUAAUUUUGGGCUUAGUUUGAAUUUUUGAGGAUUAUUAAAUAAUUUACAAAAUUAAAUAAAAUUAAAUAUAAGGUAGAAAAUUUGUUCGUGUGCAUUCAUGCCGCUGCAUUUAUUUUUGUUUGACUUGCUUGCUUGUGCUUGAAUUAUUUUGUUGCAAGAAAGAAAAAUAGAAGAAACUGUUUCUGUUAAAUAAAGGAAAAAGGAGAGCCCCCACCUGGGCCGAUUCUCGGCCCAGCGCCCCGCACCCCUCCCCUCUCCCCUCUCCCGCACGGCCCAGCAGCGGUCCAGCCGCAGAGCCGCAGCGCACAGCCCGCAGCGCCCCCUGCCCCCGCCCGCAGCCGCUGACGCGUGGGCCCCGCAGGUGGGACCCACCUCGUCCCUAACCUCCCGUCCGAAACGGACGGGGAGUCCGCGCCGCCACCCCGGUUUCCGAGCCGCACGCGCACCCCGAGGUUCACCCUAGCCUAUUUAAGGCGUCCCUCGGCCGCCCGCACCCCCCUAAACCCUAGCCUCGCUCCCGAGCCGCCGCGUGUUCGUUUCGCCGAAACCCGCGCCGCCGCCGCCGUCGCACUCCUCUCCGCGUUGCCGGUUUCGCGAAGGUGAGCCGCGCCCCGUCCUCGCCGCGUCGUGCCGACCCCGGUGGUGCCCUCGGCGUGCUCCGUCUCGCCCCGUAGGGCCGUGCCCGCGACCUCGUCGGCGGCGGCCAUGGCGUCGCCGUCCCUGCCCGCCGCGCCGCCGCGGCCCCGCUGCUCGCCUCGCCCGCGUGGCCGGUCCACCAUGGACCGGUGGACCCGGUCCACCGCCCAGCGGCCUCCCCUGCCCCGUGCGCGCGGUCCACCGCGCACCCGUGGACCCGCCAACCGCCGGCCGCCACGUGGCCAGCCAAUCUGGCCGACCAGCGCCCCCGCUGUGUUUUUGCAAAAAAACCCCCUGGGUUUCUUUGAAAUCAACCCGCGCUCCAUUUAGUUCUAGUUUUAUUUAAAAUAUGCCCCUGCUUUUACAGUUUAGCCCCUGCACCCGUUGGUUUUUAUAUAUUUAAUCCAAAUCCCUUUUUAAUUCAGUUUUUAAUUAGUUUUAAUAAUGAAAAAUAGUUCAGUUUAUGUACAGAUUUGCCAUCCAACUUGUUUUAGCCAUAACUUUUGCAUCGUAACUCCGAUUUAGGUGAUUCUGGUCGCUAUAGUUUCCUUUCGUCGAGUAGAAUACAGUGGUGCAGUUGCUUUCUGUUUUCGCAUACUUUGGUGUACUGUUUCUGAUUAAGCUUGUUUGCUUGCAUGUAUUGUUCCUUUGAUUGAUGAUUGUCGCGUAUAGCCAACGAGACGUUCGUGAAGGAAGAGGUUCAGGAUCCCGCUGAAUUCGAGCAACCCGACAUCGAUCAAGGCAAGUGCAGACACCGUUUGAUCAUUUUGAACCUACUCAUUAAUGUCAUUUACUUUAUAUGCAUGUGUCCAAUGAAUGCAAACCCUAAGGACAUGAUUAGCUUUACUUACUAUUCCUUGUUCACCUGGGGUUAUGUAUAUGGGUAGACUAGGCCAUACUAGGUUUGCUUAGCUGCUCUACUCAUCUUAAACACAUGCCUAAACAAGUAUUAAUCUCUACUCAACUUGAUGCUUAAACUGUGCUGAACCUUUGGUCACUGUGGCGAUGGUGAUGAUGGAUGCUCACGAGCAUCGUGAUGAUGGUGGUGACAGGGGGAGCGGGUACCGUUGGUGGUCCGGUUUGCCGGGCGUACCCGUCUCUGCUCUCCGUAAGGACUUAGUCAGGGAGCGGCCCCCUGGGACUUACAGUGCAGCUCCAAGCUAUAUGGCUCUGGCUUGACUAAUUAUCAGGACCUCCGCUGGUAGGGUGUUACUUUCCGGGUAGGCGUAAGGAAUGUAGCUUGGGUAUUCAUAUUAAGAGGUCGGUCAGUUCGAGGUCCCAUUGCUAUGGGCACGGCUGCCGCGCGCCCCGGCAAAAACUUACGAGUGGCAUCCUAUUAGUUGGACCCUGUGAAAGGUCUCGUAGUGAAACCCUGCCUGCUCACCUUGGUAGUGUUUUGGGGAGUCAUGACCCCGGGCAAAUGGGAAUCACGACUUGGAGUGAACGUGCACACCUCUGCAGAGUGUAAAACUGAUAUAUCAGCCGUGCUCACGGUCACGAGCGGCCCAGACCCUCACUUGAUGAGCAAAUUGGAUUUACUGGAUACUUGGAGAUGGAGCUUGGCGAGGUUGCUACCUCGUGUUUUGGCGGAAUGGCUAUUCCACGUUGGCAGGAUUGCUAUCCUGUGUUAAUAAUUGGGGUUAAUCCCUGGACUUCUAUAAUUAUUAGGAUAGUCAUUUAAAAUAUGCUAAUUACUACUUACACUAAUUAAGGGUUGGGUUUAUGCGACUCAUAAUUAGUAAUAGGUUGUUCUAAUAAUAGUCAUAAUUAAAAGUGAUCAACUAAAAUGCUAGCGCAGUCAAACCAAGUCAGCUUUACCUUGUUUUAAGCCUUGCAUGUCAUUACUUUCCGUCUGUGCUUGCUGAGUUCGACAUGAGCUCACCCUUGCUAUAAUCAUUAAAGGUUGCUCGGACGAUCAGGAGUACAAUUGUGAUUUCCCUGAGGACUACCUUGAGUCUCCCGGUUGUUAGGCUCGUGUGGUUCUGCCGUCGACCUUCCUGUGGCAAGGUGGACCUGCUGCGUCGGCGUCUAGUUUCCCUUUUAUUUAUGGAACAUUUUAGCUUAUGUUUCCCCUUCGCACUUUGAUAAACAUUUGGCUUGUAAUAAUGGUACUUUUACUCUCAUUUAUGUAAUUCGUUUGAACACUGUGUUUUGUACCAUUGAUGAUGUCGGUCCAUGUGUGUGAAUUUGAGAUCCUGGCGCACAUGUGAUUUGGCACCCGAAUGCUCUCUUACAUCCGGGUGUGACAGAAGUGGUACCAAAGCCGUGUUGACCGUAGGAUCACGCAGCCUAGUUAGAAACAGCCGUUUAGAAUGUCCCUUUUGGGUGGAAUACACCAUUGGAUCUACUGACUGCCUUACUAACCUGUCUCAUUAGACUUUAUCUAUUAGCCUUAUCUACUUACUUUUGCUAACACUUCAGUUUAUUCACUUACUUCCUGCAUUUAUUACCUUGUUAUCAUUUAUUGCUUCCUGCUUCUCAUAUUGCAUUUAUGUUCUUGUUUCAACUUUUAUUACUUAUUAUUUGAACCUUUCUUGUUUACCUUGUCUUUUGUUUAUCAUUCUACUCAUAUUACCUUCUUGUUCCUUGUUUUUCAUUUAUUACUUGAGUUAUGUUUUAUUUCUGCCUUGACCAUAAAUUUCAUUACCUUGUUUUUACUUUAUACCUUCAUUACUUGUUUUCCAUAUCUCGCCAUAAAUACCACCAAAGUUCAUAUUGUUCAUCCAUUGUAUAAUCUUGGUUCAUCUUCAUUACACAUACACUUUUACCUUCAUUUAUGUUAUUCAUUUAUCUAUCAUUGUCAUGAUCUAUUAACCGUUUCCUGCAUGUCUAUGAUCUUAUGCAUAAGUAGAUGACUCACCAUUUGACCUGCCGCAAGAGCGUCAUUCGUUUCCGCCCUGUUCAAGCUGUGGAGUUAUCGUUGACUGGUCGCGUGGAUAACAUCGUGUUCCAGCCUAACCAGCAUCUCGAUGACGGUGCUAACCUCCAAGACGCGGAACCCUAUGAAGGACAACAACCACCUCAAGCUCUGGUGGUGCAUGGAAGGGCGCCUUGCUGGGCAGCUGGAGGAGAUGAUCCCUUCGGUGAUGAUGAUGACAUGGAUGAUGAUGAUGAGGAUGCACCUGGAGGACCUGGAGGACCCGGAGGACCCGGUAGACCUGGAGGACCUGGAGGUCAAGAUGGACUUUUUGCUGCUGAUGAUGGGUGGAUUGUGACAGUCUGCACAAGGGAUGGUUGAGAGUGUUUCUUCCACAGCGAGCUGAAGCGUCUCCUUGACCAGCAACUAGGACAUGGCAUGUUCUCAGUGGAGUACCGCAGUGAGCACUGGAGUCACCCAGACUACCCGGCGUACUGGAAGGUCUGGGCACACGUCGGCAGGCCUAACCCAACGCUGAGGGCACUGAGGAUCAUGUCCAUACAUGAAGCUGUGGCAGAGAGGUUUACCCAGAUGGCGGGCAUUAAUGAUGCUGCUCGUCAGGCUUUCUACGCGUACCGUGAUCACUUCUUCGAGGAGAUCAGCCAGGAUGAACACCGCUACUACCCUCGCCGUCGCCGAGGAGAGUUGGCGAUGACUAUUGCUUCCACCACGGAUGAGCAAGACCCCCGCGUGCAUAGGACUGUCAAGCUGGUGGCGGUCACUAACACCGAGCUCAACAGUUCACUAGUGGAGCUGAAGCAAGUGAGGAAGGAGCUGGACGACGCUAGGAAGAGGAUAGCGCAGCUGGAGGCUCAGAUCACUGGAGUGCCACUGCCUUCACCUAAGUGGCUUGCUUUCUCUCCGCCUCGUGAAGACCCAGCCUAUGGAGAUGCCAGCGCUCGUACUACUAUAGAAUAGGAGCUAUUCCCAGCUUAGUAAUAAAUAGUGCCACGCUUAGAACGUUAGCACGAUCUUAGUUAUGCGAGUCUAGUGCUUAGUCGUUUGCUUAGUGUGCUUUGCUUGGUCUGUGUGAGAACUUGAUUUAUUAUUGUGUUAAUGGUGUGAUUUGGUUCUUUGUAAUGAGUGCGAUGAGUUGUGGGUUGUGUCCACAACGCAUCAAGAACAAUAUUAAGUAUUAAGUUUAUAUGAGAUAGUUAGUUUGGGUUAUCAUCGGUCUCCUUUAUUUGUGCUUUAUCAUAUUUCAUAUCGCUUUAUCUUAUCAGUCUUACUUUAUCAUGAUCAGUUCAUUAUCUAUAUAUUACAUCUGUUAUGAGUACUGUGUUGAUCAACUAAGAAAGGAAAGUGACUAUCAGCUGGUUCAUACUUUGAGGAAAGAUUAUACAUUGCAGUUUACAUUACAGCUCAGGUUUACACAUAUGAACUACAUCUGAUUUUAUUAUAUUAUUUCUAUACAUCAGAUGCCUGUCAACACCAGGAGCAACAGCAAUGGAGGAAACAACGGGCAGUCCAACAACAACAAUAAUGAUCACAGCGGGACUAAUGCCAACCCUCCUCCUCCUGUGAAUCAGCUCAUGACCAUAGAGCAGUUGAUGACUAUGCAGACUCAACUGAUGCAAGGGAUGGCCCAUAUUAUGAACCACAUGCAGCAGAACCAAAAUCAGAAUCAGAACCAACAUCAAGGAGGUAACAACGCGUUUGCCCCACCUAGGGACAAGCGUGGAGAGUUCAUGAAGGGACGUCCACCGUUCUUCUCUCACUCAGCUGAUCCUAUGCAAGCUGAGGAUUGGCUUAAAGCUGUGGAGAAGCAGCUGGUCAUUGCUCAGUGCAAUGACAGGGAGAAGGUUCUGUAUGGCUCUGGGCAGCUUCAGGGAGCCGCACAAGACUGGUGGGAUUCGUACUGCUUUGCACAUCAGGACCCGGAUACUAUCACUUGGGAUGAGUUCAAGGUCGCCUUCAAGACUCAUCAUGUGCCUGCUCGAUUGGUGAAGCUGAAGAAGAAGGAGUUUCUGUCUCUGAAGCAGGGCUCCAUGACAGUUUGUGAGUACCGUGACAAGUUCACUCAGUUGUCGCGGUAUUGCCCCAAUGAGGUGGAGAACGAUGAAGACAAGCAAGACCAAUUCCUGGAAGGUUUGAAUGAUGGGCUGUCCUACAUGAUGUCAAAUGUCAAGUAUGCCAGUUUCCAGGAGAUGGUGGACAGGGCAUUGGUGCUUGAGAGCAAGCGCCGCAAGAUGGAAGACAAGAAGAGAAAGUAUAAUUCCUCUCAGCCGUCCCCGCUACAACACUCAGCAGGGCCCUCAGUCUCGCCCUGCAUAUCAGUCAGGCAACCAAGGACAGCAGCAGAAUGUCAGGUACAGCAAUCAGAGUCAGUAGACGAGCCAGCGCUACAACAACAACCAAGUGCAGCGCCCCGCUAGCCAGGCGCCUCGUCAGAAUGCCCCAGCACCAUCAGGCUCUCGCCAGAACUCCAACACUAUCCCAGCGAAGCCCAAUGUCAACCCCACCCCCACUGGAAAUACCUGUUUCAAGUGUGGUCAGCUUGGACACUACGCGAAUGCUUGCCCCCAGAAGCAGAAGAACAACAAUGGAAGGGUGAAUCAUGUGAAGCUGGAAACUGCUGAGGAGGCUCCAGAUGUGGUACUUGGUACGUUCCUUGUCAACUCUUGCCCAGCUACUAUUUUGUUUGAUACUGGAGCAUCACAUACUUUUAUAAGUGCACAGUUUGUUGAGAAACAUAGUAUAGCCACCUGUACCAUGCAAAACACCAUGAUAGUUAAAUCACCUGGGGGAAAGAUGCAUACUAAUACUUUGUGUCCGGGAAUGAGCAUUAAAAUAAGGGGGGUAGAUUUUCCUGUCAAUCCUAUUGUGUUGGGUUCAGAAGGUUUAGAUAUGAUAUUGGGAAUGAGAUGGUUGUCCAAGUUUAAGGGUACUAUUCAGUGUGCUGAGAAGUCAGUUGCUCUAACAUCACCUAGUGGGAACAGAAUUGAGGUCAGAGUUUCUAUGUCACCUAGCAGUGAAGGAACAGUCUACCAUGUGAGCAGUGGGUCAGUAGAGGAUAUUCGAGUUGUGAAAGAAUUCCCUGAUGUGUUUCCAGAGGAUUUGCCAGGUAUGCCACCUGAACGUGAGAUUGAAUUUGUUAUUGAUUUAUUACCUGGUACUGCACCCAUAUCUAAGAGACCUUAUAGAAUGGCUGUUAAUGAGUUAGAAGAACUUAAGAAACAACUAAGGGAGUUACAGUCUAAGGGGUAUAUCCGUCCUAGUUCCUCACCUUGGGGAGCUCCAGUUAUCUUUGUAGAGAAGAAGGAUGGGACACAGAGGAUGUGUGUAGACUAUAGAUCUUUGAAUGAGGUCACAAUUAAGAAUAAAUACCCUUUGCCUAGAAUAGAGGACUUGUUUGACCAGUGGAAAGGAGCUUGUGUGUUUUCCAAGAUAGAUUUGAGAUCAGGUUAUCACCAGUUGAGGAUUAAAUCUAGUGAUAUUCCAAAGACUGCUUUCACCACCAGAUAUGGACUUUAUGAGUAUACAGUUAUGUCUUUUGGGUUAACUAAUGCUCCAGCUUACUUUAUGUAUCUGAUAAAUAAAGUUUUUAUGGAGUAUUUGGAUAAGUUUGUGGUAGUCUUUAUUGAUGAUAUCUUGAUCUGCUCCAAGACUGAGGAAGAACAUGAGGAAAACCUGAGACUUGUGUUGCAGAAAUUGAGGGAACAUCAGCUCUAUGCCAAGUUGAGUAAGUGUGACUUCUAGUUGAAGGAGGUAUCUUUUCUUGGUUAUGUCAUUUCAAAUGGUGGAGUUGCUGUCAGUCCGAAGAAUGUGGCAGAUGUCCUUAAGUGGAGUCCACCUCAGACUGUGGGAGAGAUCAGAAGUUUUCUAGGAAUGGCUGGUUACUAUCGGAGAUUCAUUGAAGGGUUUUCCAGUAUUGCUAAGCCCAUGACUGCUUUGCUAGAGAAGGGUCAGCCAUUCAAGUGGAAUGAAUAGUGUUAGGCUAGCUUUGAGGAGUUGAAGAAGAGGUUGACUACUGCACCAAUUCUGACUUUGCCUGAUGUGACUAAAAGUUUUCUAUCUAUUGUGAUGCUUCCAAGCAAGGUUUGGGAUGUGUGUUGAUGCAAGAGGGAAAGGUGAUUGCCUAUGCAUCCAGACAGUUGAAGAAACAUGAGGUGAAUUAUCCAACUCAUGAUCUUGAGUUAGCAGCAGUGGUCCAUUCACUGAAGAUCUGGAGACACUAUAUUCUGGGUCAUAAGUGUGACAUCUCUACGGAUCACAAGAGUCUGAAAUACAUCUUCACUCAGAAUGACUUGAACCUGAGACAGAGAAGAUGGUUAGAGUUGAUCAAGGAUUAUGAACUGGAGAUUCAUUACCACCCUGGCAAGGCUAAUGUAGUUGCUGAUGCUCUGAGUAGAAAGAGUCAAGUGAAUAUGUUGGAAGCCACAGAGUUACCGAUGGAACUACUGGCAGAAUUUGAGUAUCUAAAUUUGGGAUUUGUUGCUAAUACCCAAGGUACUUCCAUGGACAUAGAACCAACUCUUGAGCAAGAGAUCAGAAAAGGUCAGAAAGAGGAUGAAGAGAUCAAAAAGAUACUUAAGCUGAUAGAAGAAGGUAGAGCACCUGGAUUCAAAGUUGAUCAAGAAGGGAUUGUUUGGCACAAGGACCGAUUGUGUGUGCCUGAUAUUCAGAGAAUCAAGGAUGUGAUACUGAAGGAGUGCCAUGAAUCUGCUUACUCUAUUCAUCCAGGAGGAACUAAGAUGUACUAGGACUUGAAACAAAACUAUUGGUGGCCUGGUAUGAAGAAAGAUAUUGGUGAAUAUGUGGAUUGUGUGACACCUGUCAGAGAGUGAAAGCGGAACAUCAGAGGCCAGCAGGGUUGUUGCAACCGUUGAAGAUACCUGAGUGGAAGUGGGAUGAGAUCAGCAUGGACUUCAUAGUGGGAUUGCCGAAAACUCAACGAGGUUAUGACUCAAUAUGGGUUGUAGUAGAUCGAUUGACCAAGGUAGCUCAUUUCAUACCGGUCAAAACUAACUACCGUGGAGAUCAGUUAGCAGAAAAGUAUAUGGAACGGAUUGUGUGUCUGCAUGGAGUUCCUAAGAGGAUUGUGUCUGAUAGAGGUACACAGUUUACAUCAAAGUUUUGGGAGAAGUUACAUGAUGCUUUGGGAACCGAGCUCAGAUUCAGUACUGCUUAUCACCCUCAGUCCGAUGGUCAGACAGAGAGAGUCAACCAGAUAGUAGAGGAUAUGCUCAGGUCUUGUGCUUUACAGUAUGGAGAUAGUUGGGAUACUAGUUUGCCCUACGCUGAGUUCUCCUAUAACAAUAGUUAUCAGACUAGUCUUAAGAUGACUCCUUUUGAAGCCUUGUAUGGAAGGAAGUGUAGGACUCCAUUGUUCUGGAACCAAACUGGUGAAAGGCAAGUGUUCGGCCCUGAUUCUUUGAGGAUAGCCGAAGAAAGAGUUCAGUUCAUCCGACAGACUCUGAAAGCAGCUCAGUCUAGACAGAAGAGUUAUGCAGAUGUGAGACGAAGGGAACUUGUGUUUCAGGCAGGUGAUUAUGUAUACCUGAAAGUGUCUCCGAUGAGGGGUCUAAAGAGGUUCAAUGUCAAGGGAAAGCUAGCUCCAAGAUAUGUUGGUCCUUUCAAGAUUUUGGAAAGGAAAGGAGAGGUGGCUUAUGAGCUUGAGCUGCCUGCUAGUUUAUCCAAUGUGCACAAUGUUUUCCAUGUCUCCCAAUUCAAGAAAUGCUUGAGGGUGCCUGAGGAACUGGAUUUACAGGAUGAUCUAACUUAUGAAGAGAGUCCUAUCAAAGUCCUGGACACAGCAGAGAGAAUUACCAGGAGUAAAACUAUCAGGUUGUGUAAAGUACAAUGGAAACACCAUUCUGAGGAAGAGGCAACCUGGGAAAGAGAAGAUGAUCUGAAAUCCAAAUACCCUCAGUUAUUCUCUGGUUCAUCCUAAUCUCGAGGACGAGAUUCUUUUAAGGGGGUAGGUUUAUAACACUCCAAAUUUUUGAAUUUGAAAUUUAGUUUGAAUUUGAUUUAAUUUUGGGCUUAGUUUGAAUUUUUGAGAAUUAUUAAAUAAUUUACAAAAUUAAAUAAAAUUAAAUAUAAGGUAGAAAACUUGUUCAUGUGCAUUCAUGCCGCUGCAUUUAUUUUUGUUUGACUUGCUUGCUUGUGCUUGAAUUAUUUUGUUGCAAGAAAGAAAAAUAGAAGAAACUGUUUCUGUUAAAAAAAAGGAAAAAGGAGAGCACCCACCUGGGCCGAUUCUCGGCCCAGCGCCCCGCACCCCUCCCCUCUCCCCACUCCCGCACGGCCCAGCAGCGGCCCAGCCGCAGCGCGCAGCCCGCAGCGCCCCCUGCCCCCGCCCGCAGCCGCUGACGCGUGGGCCCCGCAGGUGGGACCCACCGUCAUCCCUAACCUCCCGUCCGAAACGGACGGGGAGUCCGCGCCGCCACCCCGGUUUCCGAGCCGCACGCGCACCCCGAGGUUCACCCUAGCCUAUUUAAGGCGUCCCUCGGCCGCCCGCACCCCCCCUAAACCCUAGCCUCGCUCCCGAGCCGCCGCGUGUUCGUUUCGCCGAAACCCGCGCCGCCGCCGUCAACCUCGCCGCCGCCGCCGUCGCACUCCUCUCCGCGCUGCCGGUUUCGCGAAGGUGAGCCGCGCCCCGUCCUUGCCGCGUCGUGCCGACCCCGGUGGUGCCCUCGGCGUGCUCCGUCUCGCCCCGUAGGGCCGUGCCCGCGACCUCGUCAGCGGCGGCCAUGGCGCCGCCGUCCCUGCCCGCCGCGCCGCCGCGGCCCCGCCGCUCGCCUCGCCCGCGCGCGGUCGACGAUGGACUCGCGGCUCAGCGCCCGCGUGGCCGGUCCACCGCCCAGCGGCCUCCCCUGCCCCGUGCGCGCGGUCCACCGCGCACCCGUGGACCCGCCAACCGCCGGCCGCCACGUGGCCAGUCAAUCUGGCCGACCAGCGCCCCCCUGCGUUUUUGCAAAAAAACCCCCUGGGUUUCUUUGAAAUCAACCCGCGCUCCAUUUAGUUCAAGUUUUAUUUAAAAUAUGCACCUGCUUUUACAGUUUAGCCCCUGCACCCGUUGGUUUUUAUAUAUUUAACCCAAAUCCCUUUUUAAUUCAGUUUUUAAUUAGUUUUAAUUACGAAAAAUAGUUCAGUUUAUCUACAGAUUUGCCAUCCAACUUGUUUUAGCCAUAACUUUUGCAUCGUAACUCCGAUUUAGGUGAUUCUGGUCGCUAUAGUUUCGUUUCGUCGAGUAGAAUACAGUGGUGCAGUUGCUUUCUGUUUUCGCAUGCUUUGGUGUACUGUUUCUGAUUAAGCUUGUUUGCUUGCAUGUAUUGUUCCUUUGAUGAUGAUUGUCGCGUAUAGCCAACGAGACGUUCGUGAAGGAAGAGGUUCAGGAUCCCGCUGAAUUCGAGCAACCCGACAUCGAUCAAGGCAAGUGCAGACACCGUUUGAUCAUUUUGAACCUACUCAUUAAUGUCAUUUACUUUAUAUGCAUGUGUCCAAUGAAUGCAAACCCUAAGGACAUGAUUAGCUUUACUUACUAUUCCUUGUUCACCUAAGGUUAUGUAUAUGGGUAGACUAGGCCAUACUAGGUUUGCUUAGCUGCUCUACUCAUCUUAAACACAUGCCUAAACAAGUAUUAAUCUCUACUCAACUUGAUGCUUAAACUGUGCUGAACCUUUGGUCACUGUGGCGAUGGUGAUGAUGGAUGCUCACGAGCAUCGUGAUGAUGGUGGUGACAGGGGGAGCGGGUACCGUUGGUGGUCCGGUUUGCCGGGCGUACCCGUCUCUGCUCUCCGUAAGGACUUAGUCAGGGAGCGGCCCCCUGGGACUUACAGUGCAGCUCCAAGCUAUAUGGCUCUGGCUUGACUAAUUAUCAGGACCUCCGCUGGUAGGGUGUUACUUUCCGGGUAGGCGUAAGGAAUAUAGCUUGGGUAUUCAUAUUAAGAGGUCGGUCAGUUCGAGGUCCCAUUGCUAUGGGCACGGCUGCCGCGCGCCCUGGCAAAAACUUACGAGUGGCAUCCUAUUAGUUGGACCCUGUGAAAGGUCUCGUAGUGAAACCCUGCCUGCUCACCUUGGUAGUGUUUUGGGGAGUCAUGACCCUGGGCAAAUGGUAAUCACGACUUGGAGUGAACGUGCACACCUCUGCAGAGUGUAAAACUGAUAUAUCAGCCGUGCUCACGGUCACGAGCGGCCCAGACCCUCACUUGAUGAGCAAAUUGGAUUCACUGGAUACUUGGAGAUGGAGCUUGGCGAGGUUGCUACCUCGUGUUUUGGCGGAAUGGCUAUUCCGCGUUGGCAGGAUUGCUAUCCUGUGUUAAUAAUUAGGGUCAAUCCCUGGACUUCUAUAAUUAUUAGGAUAGUCAUUUAAAAGAUGCUAAUUACUACUUACACUAAUUAAGGGUUGGGUUUAUGCGACUCAUAAUUAGUAAUAGGUUGUUCUAAUAAUAGUCAUAAUUAAAAGUGAUCAACUAAAAUGCUAGCGCAGUCAAACCAAGUCAGCUUUACCUUGUUUUAAGCCUUGCAUGUCAUUACUUUCCGUCUGUGCUUGCUGAGUUCGACAUGAGCUCACCCUUGCUAUAAUCAUUAAAGGUUGCUCGGACGAUCAGGAGUACAAUUGUGAUUUCCCUGAGGACUACCCUGAGUCUCCCGGUUGUUAGGCUCGUGUGGUUCUGCCGUCGACCUUCCUGUGGCAAGGUGGACCUGCUGCGUCGGCGUCUAGUUUCCCUUUUAUUUAUGGAACAUUUUAGCUUAUGUUUCCCCUUCGCACUUUGAUAAACAUUUGGCUUGUAAUAAUGGUACUUUUACUCUCAUUUAUGUAAUUCGUUUGAACACUGUGUUUUGUACCAUUGAUGAUGUCGGUCCAUGUGUGUGAAUUUAAGAUCCUGGCGCACAUGUGAUUUGGCACCCGAAUGCUCUCUUACAUCCGGGUGUGACAGAAACCUUCUGGAGUUUGAUGCCUUCAGCGUCUGGUAGAGUUUCUUGGAUGAUGUUUCAGAGGUCUGCAUCGAAUAUAUAGGAUGAGACAAAAAUAUUUGGUUAUAUAAUAUUUAAGGCAUGAAUUUUAAUAGUAAAUCUUGUUUUGUAUUUUACCGUAGCGUUAGCACGGGCACUAUACUAGUUAGUACGUUGUAGCACUGCACAACAGCACAAGUGGAGGGGAGCUUGAUGACUAUUCUAGAAAGAAUACAAUUGGCCGGAUAUCUUCCCUAAUUUGCAAGAAUAUAGAUUUUUGUGGAAAAUAAUACCCUUCAAUAACCUCUUCAAUUGGAUAUCCAAAUGGAUGUAAUAUGACAUUAUCAGUGGUCAAGAUCAUGUUUCAGGUACCAUAUCAAAAUUUAAAGGAUCUCUUCUGUUACUAGAAAAUAUACUAAGAAAGUAGUAGGGAUGGCCGCAUUUGCUAACACCAUGAACGAAUUUCCCUUAGGCCUUGUUUACUUCCACCCAAAAAUCUAAAAUUUUUAAAGAUUUCUGAUCGCAUCGAAUCUUUAGACGCAUGCAUGGAGUAUUAAAUGUAGACGAAAAUAAAAACUAAUUGCACAGUUUGGUCGAAAUUGACGAGACGAAUCUUUUAAGCCUAGUUAGUCCAUGUUGGACAAUAAUUACCACAAACAAACGAAAGUGCUACAGUGUCGCGAAAUUUUUCUCUUCACGAACUAAACAAGGCCUUGGGGUUCGAGAAGCUGCGACUGCGACGGCGAGGUACAGUAGUACAUAGUAGCAGUUCCAGAAAGAAUACAAUUAGAUAUCUUCUCUAUAAAAAUUUAUAGGAAUAAAGAUUUUAGUGGAAAAAGACCCUCAAUUAGCCUUUUCAAUAUCUAAAUAUAGAUAUAUUAUCUAAUCCGAUUUCUCCUAGUCAAAGUUGGAGAGCUAGUAUGACUCUCUUGACUAAAAAUUAUUGAAGAAUACAAAGAUAUAGAAAAUGGUUUUUAGUCAAAUGGCUCUCCAAAUCAUAAUUUAAAUAGUCGAUUUUAAAUAUGAUUCUGAAGAUACUUUAAUGUUGCCUUUGUAGAGCAAAGUCAAAGACAAGUCUGACAGCCCCAACGUUCUUUUUGGAAGUGGUAUUAAUUUUUUUUUUGUUUUGUUUUGGGGGCCGAAGACACGUUUGGGGUGAAAGCUAAAUAUUGUUGUUUUGAGUCAUCGUCUUAUACAAGCCAAGUUAAACCGUGUUGAUAAUGCCCUAGUAGGUCAUGGGCAAUAAAAAUAUUUCACAAAAGGAACUAUCUACUCAACAAUCGAGUGCUCGACACUCGAUUUUUCUCGGAUCCUCCACUGUUCAUCUUUCUCUCCGCCGCCGUGCCCCUUUACCCAUCAUGGCCACGGUGGCCUCCAUCUUCCUCUCCCCCCGAUCUCUGGCUUCUGCAACGACCUUUGGCCAUGGCGCCCUGCUCCAGCCUGGUCUGCCGCCUCUACCGCCGCCAGGGCUCCUAACCGCAUAGCCGACCUACUUUCUCUCGAGCCCUCUUCUAUGCUGAAUGGACUUGGAAAAGAAGAGGUGAAGGUGCCGGGGAGAGCUCGCUGAAAAUUGAGUGUUGAGAGAGAAAAGGAACAACCGAGUACUAUUAUUUAGCAAUUCUAUCACGAAAUAAUCAUGAAUGUAAGAUGACAUACAUCAGUGGUCAAAAUCAUGUAGUAUGUUUCAGCUGGUACCAUAUCAACAUCGAUCUAGAAUGAAUCUCUCAUGUAAUUAGAAAAUACUUAGAAAAAAGUAGCAGGGAUGGCCCCGCAUUUGUUGACACCGUGAACCGAUUUCCCUUUCCAGGAAGGUAGGUGUACAGGAGUACUGUACAUAGUAGAGCCUGAUGGAGUGACUGUUCCAGCAAGCCGUGUGUGUGAUUGUAAUCGUACGAUCCAAUACCUCGCGCAAGAAGCCAGGAAGAGAUAUGUGGACUCGAAACGACGAGGGCCCAUUGGAUAUUUUUAGGCAAGCAAGGAGCCGACCCCACCCCACCCUCCGUGGCGACCACUGGCUCCAUCGAUCGCGCGAACCGGACGACAAUAAUUGCGGGCUGGCCGUUUCCGUCCUGUCCGCAUCGGGCACGUGCCACGAACCCGACGGCCGCGCGCGGGGUGCUCAGCUCACCGUUGAUUUGGUUUGCCCGGUUGUGUGUGGAUUGUGUGGCUCCGGUGGGCCUCCUGUUUCUCCUGAAUGGCCGGCCCGCCCGCCCAUGCAAACAAACGUGGGCCUCCACGAGUCGACAUACACAGUUUCUUGAUACUAGUGGGCCUGCUUGUUCGACACAAAUUAUCUUUCACGGGCUUGGUUAAAUUGACUAGAAUGCAUAGGCCGAUGGGAAAGGAGUCAAACUCGUCUCGUCGUUUGUGAUGCGAUGGCCGACAGUUACGCGCCGUUUGUAGUAACUAUUUUCUUUUUUGGUUAUGGUCGUCGGCUGUGAAUUGUGAUUAUUUGGCGACAGUUCUCGCGUCGAUAGUGACGGGAUGGCGUAACUCUCUCUCUCACACACACCCGCGUGUCAAAAGCACAGGAAAUCGGCCAUAUCGAUCCCUUUAAUUAACUGUAAAAAAGAAAAACUAAUCUGCCAUCCCGUCACAAAACGACGCAGCUUUGGCCUCGUCGAAUCGAAAGAGAGAGCCGUCGUCUGUCACGUAGCCCCACGGUCAUGAAUUAUUGGACGCCGCGGAGACCCAAGCGUGUGCCGCUGCAGCGUGCACGUAGGCGUGUAGCGCUCACGGUCACGGGCAAUGCAAUGAAGGCGUAGCGCUAGCUCCACAAAUUGUAGAGCGACGACCGUACCCUGUUAGGAAACGAACUAGUAAUGGGAGGUGGUUCUGCGUUCUUUUCAGGGAGGUUGAUCGAUCCAUGACACAAAACCCCCGCGUCCCUCCCCUUUCACACUUAGUAUAACGUGAACCUAAGAUUUUGAUUCGAUCGAUUAUCAUGACAAGGGGGGGAAGAGGGAUGAUAUGAAUUUGGUGUAUAGUACUUACGUGUGCCCACAAACUUCAUUGUCCAAUUGGUAUGAUCCGUGGAAUUCUUCUUGGAUCAAUAUACUGUAUUACAGCUCGAUCCAGCUAACAAAAGUUUCCUUUUGUGUGUUAGACUUCCCUUUGCGUGCCCAUCCAUAUAUAGCACCUGCAAACUGAUAAGGGGUUAAAUCCACCACCUAGCUACUCAAUUAAUUAAUGUUGGUCUUUCAACCUAACUCACUUCAAUUCAUCAAUUAGUAGAACCAUGAGUUUGCUACAAUCAUGAGUUUGUAUAAAAAUGUCGUAUACGUAAGUUUGAAUAAAAUAUAUAAAUCACGUAAAAAGUUGGGCCCUAGAUUUAAAUUUAUUGCCCACCCCUUAAAACCAUUUUCAAGGCCGGUCAGAGAUGGAGCAUUUCACGCAAAACCAAUUUUAAGGCACCAUAUCCAUACACGAAAAUAGUUCCGGUUUCUUGUUUUGCUGGUCAGAAGCACUCCUCGGCCCGUUCACAGAGCUGAUGGGAUUGGAGAAGCCGGUGCGGGAGCCGCAACGUGGAUACAAAUGUCAUCCUUCCAAAUGAUCAAAAAUAGAAGUUGAUUAGACCUUUGAUCAUGUUGCAACGAAUAAUAGGGACAGGAAAAAUUACAUUGAUAUCGAUCUCAUAGCACGAUUAAAAUCAGGAAGCAGGCGCUACUCUUUGACAGCGAACAGCUGCAAGAGUUACAGAAAAGGAUGGUUGGCAUUGAGGGCUUAAGAAUUUCCCCCCACCUGGGACCAUGUAGAGCUCACUCCUUGAUUUUCCCUAGUGCAGUCCGUGUUGUACUUGUGGAGUUUCUAAGAGUCAUCGCAUUUCUUUGCAAUAAUACAAUACAGCAUGUACAUGCUCAGCAUUGCUUAUCUGGACCAUCCAAGUGUGCUCUGAGAUUCGUGCUGCUGCACUUCUCUCAACUGUGUUCACACUUCUCUACACUGUUUCACACAUCUCGAUGCAUAUUCAACGGUGUAGAUAAGCAAUGCCCAGCAUAUAGACUUCAAAAAACUGCGUUCAUUUCUUUGUUUCCAUACGCACCAGAGUGUCAAGAUUGCUAAGGUGUGCAUCAUAUAUGGUUGCUAGCUGAGAUAAGAUAGUUCAGCAUUAAAGAAUGUGAUUAUUACCUUAAUCAAUGGUUUUGUUAAGCAUUUUUUAUUUUGUCAAAUUUAGAUGGUUAAAGUUCCUUCUAUCGAGAUAGCAAGGUUCAUUGCAGUGGAACCUACCUACUAAAGUUCAAGUCCUCGACUUAUCAUUAGUGCUCGCAUUUUUUUGGAUUUAUUCUAGAAUUUAACGUCAUUAUGCUUUCAGUGCUAGGCAACGAGACGUCUAUGGUGACUUUGUUAAUCUCGAGAUGUGCCGGUACAAUAUUUUUGAAGUGUUCAUGAGGAGUAGGGUUUGCGUAUAUAUUUUCAUAAAGAUGAGUGUGUAUUAAGCGUCUACAUCUGUACUUAUUUGUACUUGCAUAAUUUGAAAAAAAAAAGAUAGCAAGAGCAGUAAAAAUUGGUUGUUCAACAAGCAUACAAAUCAAAACUUUUCUCUUAUUUUAAUAUUUUCAUAUGGCCCCUCAUGUCAAACUUUGAUGGAUAAAGCUCGAUCUAUUUAUGCAAGCUAGUUAUGAUGUAAAAAGAUUUCUCCUUUUAUAUGCAUGAUUUAGGAAUUGGGAUUUAGUAUUUUAGUGCUGCUUCUUUUCAACUAACAUGCAUGAGCUGGAGCCUGAGAAAAGAGGAUGAAGCCUUUUUAUAUGCAUCAUGUUGUCGAUCCUCUUUAUUAACAUAUUGAAACAACAUAAUCACGUCAUCCCUGGCAAAAUAUCCAGCAUCCCCGGCCCGCCCCCACAUUCCAGUUCCGUUCCAUGCAUAAAUAGGAGUACAGUAUAAUAUAACCAUGAAUCAAAUCAUAGCCAAUGGGCAAUUGCCCAUAACCCUAACAACAACAACUACUACUACGUACGUGGCGCGGCAAACCAGCAAGGACAGGAGGCACAGGUUUCAACGGGGCGGCCGCGAGUCAGCAGGAAGGAAGUAAUAACGCUGAAAAGCGCCGCCAAUCAAUGCCGACGCGGACCCUACCGCUACCGGCCGGCCGGCUCCUCCCCAUUCCCCACGCCCACGGGAGGGAGGGCUACCUGACCUCUCUCGCUCACUCACCUGCGUGCCGAUUGCAAAAUUAAUGGCGGCGAAUGCUGCGUGCAACUGACCCGACCCGACCGGCCGCGGAUGACCGCUACUCGUAGCUGCACCGAGCAAUCCGAGACCCGAGGAGCAAUCCGAUCCGUACUUGGCUCUGGCUGCGUGGACACGCAUGGAACUGGAAGCCGGCCGCGCGUCAAAACUGAAAGGCUGCUGCUUCAUGCAUGGCCUUAAUUUGUUACUACGCUCAGUUGAGAUACCGGCACGGCAGCUCCAGCUAUCUUGAGAGUUGCCUCUCUCUCGGCCUGUCCUGCACCAGCCACACCACACGGCACCCCACAGCCAGUAGAAAUUGAUCGAGACGACGACGACGACAACAACAACAGUCACCAGCACGCCGCGGCCGCGCGCGUCGCAAUCCGGUUGGGUUUCAGGCGUCAUAACUCUAAGCAGUGGAGCUGCAGGUGGGGAUCGGCCGGGCCGGUGCAGUGGUGCGGCUGGCCUGGAGCGAUCCUUGACCGACCCACCGACGAUCGACCCCUGCUGUUGCUCCGCGUCAUUCCUAACGCGCGCCCCAACUGCAUCCCUUGGCCGCGGCCGGACCAAAGCUAGGUACAUGUAUGCAUGUAUAAAGCCAUGCCGCGCCGAUCGAUGCAGCGUGCAUGACCGCUUAAGGGACACAAACUGUCCUGUCCUGUCCUGUCCACAGUACGUCCACACACGCCUUCAUUUCAUCGGCUGCCUCACGGACGACCGAGUCUACAAAAAGCACAACAUAGGCAGGAGUAGGGGCAGCCGUGAGCUGAGCUGAGGGAACGACACGUACGACGGCAGAGUCGUUGCUAGCCGGCCGGCCGCCGGAGCUAGAUCUCCACCAGCAUCUCGAUCGCCGACGACGACAUGGGUGCCGCGCUCUUGGCUUCUUGGCCAUGGGACAACCUCGGCUUCUACAAGGUACGUACGUACGUACGUACGAUAUAUACGACGCCAAGCAUGCACCUAGCAAGCUAGCUCUUGGGGGGGAUGAUCGACAUCGAUUCGCUUUGUUGCUUAAUAAAACCUCUUUGCAUGCAUGCAUGCAGUACGUCCUGUACGGCCCGCUGGUGGGCAAGGCGGUGGCGUCACGGGCGUGGGAGGCGGCGAGCCCCGACCGCUGGAUCCUCGUCCUCCUCCUCCUCUUCGGCCUCCGUGCACUCACCUACCAGCUCUGGAGCUCCUUCAGCAACAUGCUCUUCGCCACGCGCCGCCGCCGCGUCGUCCGCCACGGCGUCGACUUCCACCAGAUCGACAAGGAGUGGGACUGGUAUGUCGUCGUAGCCAUCGAUCGGAACAUCUAUCUAUCUUGCCAUCUUGGCUAACUAGCUAGCUCUUGAUGAUCGAUCCAUACUGUAAUAAUCAAUCAACGCACGCCGGCCGUGCAUGCAUAUGCAGGGACAACUUCCUGAUCCUGCACGUCCUGAUGGCGGCCACGGCGGUGUACGCGUUCCCGUCGCUGCGCCACCUCCCGCUCUGGCCGGACGACGCCCGUGGCCUCGCCGUGGCGGUCCUCGUGCACGCCGCGGCCACCGAGCCCCUGGCGUACUUGGCGCACAGGGCGUUCCACCACGGGGCCAGCGGCCGCCUCUACGCCCGCUACCACGCGCUGCACCACUCCACACCGGUGCCGCAGCCCUUCACGGCGGGCCUCGCCACGCCGCUGGAGCACAUGGCGCUGGGCGCGCUCAUGGCGCUGCCCCUCGCGGCCGCGUGCGCCGCCGGCUCGGGAUCCGUCGCGCUCGCCUUCGCCUACGUGCUCGGCUUCGACUUCCUCCGCGCCAUGGGACACUGCAACGUCGAGGUCGUCCCCAGCUCGCUCUUCCGGGCGGUCCCGGUCCUCAGAUACCUUAUCUACACCCCGACGUACGUGUGUUAAUUGCCUCUCAUGCAUCUCUCUCACUCCCGGCUCGAUCCAUCGCUUAUUUUUUAUUUUUUUUCCUUAUUAUUACAGUCGUAUACGUCCUCAGUUCACGACGAUUUGACUGCCCCCGCCUCGUAGGACGUAGGUUCAUUUGAUGAUCAUGACUGCUAACCGUGUGUGUGUGUGUGUGUGUGUGUGUGUGUGUGUGUGUGUGUGUGUGUGUGUGUGUGUGUGUGUGUGUGUGUGUGUGUGUGUGUGUGUGUACAUACAAAAAUAUGUGUAUCGAUGAUCUUUAGAUGAUAAAGAGAGGAAACAACAAAAAUAUCUUGAUAGCGAUGGAACUAGAAAUGUGUAUGCGCCACGCCUAUAUAUGCAUGACCUACGAAAAGAUGCAUGGUGUCACUAGCUGAUUCGUACAUCCAACAGAACUGUGCACGCGGUAGUCAAGGCAGGGAGUUUUUGCCCUAUCAUCUUUGUCUUCUCCAAACUCUCGACCUUUUGCUAGGUGUGCUAGUAAUUAAGUAAAUUGUUCUUAGUCUGAUUGCUGUAUCACAUUUCGAGCUGUCUACGGCGCCUAUUUGAAACAUGAACGUGUACCGGACAAGCAGUUGCAGUGUUGUAUGCAUCUCGCUUUUAUGGCUUGUGUGUUGUGGCGCACCAGCUUUCCUUCUAACAACCACCUUAUUACCCUUAUAAUACCCGUCGUUGCUUGCUUCGUACUACUAUCCUACGGCGUAGCAGUACAGUAUCCCUCUAGAAUCACGUGCUGAAUGAUGACUGGAUGCUUUUUAACGACGUGAUUCUGUGCCCAGGUGCUUCUGGCCAGAUCAGAGAGGUGUCGUACGCACGUAUAGUAGGUGCUGAUGCAUGCUGGCCCUUUUUUCUCUUGAUGCUGCAGGUACCACGCGAUCCACCACACCAAGAAGGAGGCCAAUUUCUGUCUCUUCAUGCCGCUGUUUGAUCUGCUGGGUGGCACCAUUGAUCAGCAGUCGUGGGACAUGCACAAGAAGAUGAGCGCAGGUACACACACGUCUGGCUAGUUUUUGCUUAUAUAACAUCCUUUUGGUUGUCAAAUCUACGUUUAUUAUGGUGGUCCACGACAUGCCAGCUACGUAUAUGGGUUCAAGAGAUGACCUCCCGUGAUAUAUAUAGUCUGAUACUCCUAAUUAAGUAGUCCUAACUUUUUUUUUUAGAAAAGGAAGUAGUCCUAACUAGAUGAGUAGACAGCCCAACUAGCCUGCUAGCUAGCUUCUAGCUUUAAUCAAUAAAAUGCACUGGACCGGUACAUGUAUCUAACUGCAUGCCCUCAACAAUAAUAAGCCCGAACACAACUACGACACGUUAAGCUGUUUGUAAGAUUGAUCAGUAGCUAGUGGUUAGUGGUACCUAUCUACUAAUUUAUUUGCAUUGCAUGCAAUUAUUAAACAUGAAUGCCGCAACCCUAGUAGUACAUUAUCUUACUGCUAUAGCUAGGAACAGAAUCGAAGAUGUAUUGAAUAAGUGAAAACUAUAAAAAUUCUAAAACAUGGAAAUUGAUACUCUGAGAGGUUUGGAAUGGAGGAAAAGAAAUACAGGAACAUGAGCACAUAGCAAGAGCGAAAACAAAAAUUCCUUCCCUUAGGUUGAAACGAUGGUUUUAGUCUCCACUAAUAUGGUUUCCUUUCAACAAAAAUUAACUCACCGUUCCUUUGUUCCAAACACUAUGAUGUACUAAUUCCUUUUCUUUGGAAAUUAUUGUUUCAGAAUUCCUUUGAAAGUUGUUUGACCAAACAGUAAAUUACCUACUUGCCCUAAAUCCAGUCCACUUGUGUAGUCAUCCAGAAAAGAUACCACAACAAGACAGGCAGUUAAUAGAUCGAAUAGGACGUACUGCUGAUUAUUUUUGUUUCACAUUAAUUAUUAGCAGAAGGUUCUAAUUCGAGCUGGGAACACAUAUGGUUUCUAGAAAUGGAAUUAACCCAAGGCCCCAAUAAGCUCAUCUAGCUCCUCAUAAUUGAUCGACACAACCCCUCAGCAAUUCGUCGCCGGAGAAAUUAAAAAAAAAACACUCGAUAUGACCAAUUCAUUUCUGUGGAGGACAGCGCAUGCAUGCCCAGAUCGAAAUAGGACAUGAUGCAGCGCCGAGACGGACACCUCACGGCCGGCCGCGGCCGGCGAAGAGAUGAGCUCACUGUCAGUCGAAAUCCCCGGUCAGCAUCCGGCGGAUGGGAGUGCGAGAUGCCAUCAGCCGCAAUGAAGGCGCUAGCCUGGUGAUUGGCGCGUACGUCGCCCUCGUUCCUCGCCGUCGCCGUCGCCACCCGUCCGUCUCUGAACCUCAACCUGGUAUGGCCGAGUAGGAGGAGCGUAGGCGGUUGGGAACGGCCGGGCCCGGCGAUCGCCGGCCGACGUGGCCCGAUAGCGAGAUCGAUCAAACUGCACAGACAACCGCCGGGGCCAGCGGCGUCGUCCAGGUGUCGCCGGCCUAGCGCUAGCUGCGGGUCUGGCAUGGCGAUCGCGAGGUCGCCCGUCGCCGCCACCAGUAGGUGGGAUGUCACUCACAACAGAAUCGAUCGGCAACGCUAGCUAGCGCUCCCCUGCUCUGCUCUGGCCGCUGCUGAUAUCCGUCCCGACGCCGACGCUUGUCGAUCUGCUCUGAUGCGACUCCUCGCUCGAUGGAGCAGGUGUGGACGAGGUGCCGGACUUCGUGUUCCUGGCGCACGUGGUGGACGUGAUGCAGUCGCUGCACGUGCCCUUCGUCCUGCGGACCUUCGCCUCCACGCCCUUCUCCGUGCAGCUCUUCCUGCUACCCAUGUGGCCCUUCGCCUUCCUCGUCAUGCUCGCCAUGUGGGUCUGGUCCAAGACCUUCGUCAUCUCCUGCUACAACCUCCGCGGACGGCUGCACCAGAUUUGGGCCGUCCCCAGAUACGGCUUCCAGGUCCGUGUUGUCUAAUUGUCUUGUGUCUCAUGUCAUGUCAUGAUGGGGUGUGUGUGUGUGUGUGUUUUAUCUUAAUUUGCAUAUAUUAUUGCCUGCAGUACUUCUUGCCGUUUGCCAAGGACGGCAUCAACAAGCAGAUCGAGCUCGCCAUCCUCAGGGCGGACAAGAUGGGCGUCAAGGUCCUCAGCCUUGCAGCCCUAAACAAGGUAAAUCAACGGAGCCUGAAUCAGAAUCAGCUAGCUGAACGGGGCUUGCCAAUCUAAUUAAGACAUGGGAUCGUGCAUGGCCUUGUGCAGAACGAGGCGCUGAACGGCGGCGGCACGCUGUUCGUGAACAAGCACCCUGACCUGCGCGUGCGCGUCGUCCACGGCAACACGCUGACGGCGGCGGUGAUCCUGAACGAGAUCCCCAAGGGCACGACGGAGGUGUUCCUGACGGGCGCCACGUCCAAGCUCGGCAGGGCCAUCGCGCUCUACCUGUGCAAGAAGAGGGUCCGCGUCAUGGUAUUUACGCAUCCAGACCUGCCCUGCCCUGCCCCUGGUGUACACGCAUCUCAACUAUAUAUAUAUAUAUAUAUAUAUAUAUAUAUAUAUAUAUAUAUAUAUAUAUAUAUAUAUAUAUAUAUAUAUAUAUAUAUAUAUAUAUAUAUAUAUAUAUAUAUAUAUAUAUAUAUAUAUAUAUAUAUAUAUAUAUAUAUAUAUAUAUAUAUAUAUAUAUAUAUAUAUAUAUAUAUAUAUAUAUAUAUAUAUAUAUAUAUAUAUAUAUAUAUAUAUAUAUAUAUAUAUAUAUAUAUAUAUAUAUAUAUAUAUAUAUAUAUAUAUAUAUACUUUAAUGAAUGAAUGAAUUGCAGAUGAUGACCCUGUCGACGGAGCGGUUCCAGAAGAUCCAGAAGGAGGCUCCGGCGGAGUUCCAGCAGUACCUGGUGCAGGUGACCAAGUACCGGGCGGCGCAGCACUGCAGGACGUGGAUCGUGGGCAAGUGGCUGUCGCCGCGGGAGCAGCGGUGGGCGCCGCCGGGCACGCACUUCCACCAGUUCGUGGUGCCGCCCAUCAUCGGCUUCCGCAGGGACUGCACCUACGGCAAGCUCGCCGCCAUGCGCCUCCCCAAGGACGUGCAGGGCCUGGGCGCCUGCGAGUACUCGCUCGAGCGCGGGGUGGUGCACGCGUGCCACGCCGGCGGCGUCGUCCACUUCCUCGAGGGCUACACGCACCACGAGGUGGGCGCCAUCGACGUCCACCGCAUCGACGUCGUCUGGGAGGCCGCGCUCAAGCACGGACUCCGGCCCGCAUGAUCCGUUUCCUGGGGGCCCGGCUCGACCGCCCUCUGUUGUAGUACGAACCAGGCCGAUCGAAACGCACGGGCCUGGCUUUGUCACCUUCCUUCCCUUUGUUUUCCUUCCAAGUUCAUCAUUAGUUGGGUGUGAAUUGGUGGUUCCUGGAUAUUCAAUUUUCUUUUCUUUCUCUCUUCUUCCAUCCACAAUAUGUAUACUGUGAACUAUACAAUAUAUAUAUACACCAUAUACAAGAGAUAAAUUAAAGGAUGUAAUGAGAGAAAAUACAAGGGCAUAUAUAUAUAUAUAUAUAUAUAUAUAUAUAUAUAUAUAUAUAUAUAUAUAUAUAUAUAUAUAUAUAUAUAUAUAUAUAUAUAUAAAAUGUUGAAAGCACGCGGAAAUAUCGAUAUCUAUAUUCUCUCCACUAACCCUUCUAUAUAUAUUCUCUCCAGUAAUGUGUUGCCCGGCAAAUGGCCGGCCACAGAGCACACGAAUCAUCUAUCCCACUGGAUCCUCUCUAUGCUCCUUGUGCAUCCAUCCCUCUCUAAGAGCAAGGUCAAUAAUAGAGCCUAGUACUUGGCUAUAAGCCAAGUGAUUAGAAUCAAAUUAUACAAUAAGUUGUCUCAUAUUUGUCUCUAAAACACAUUCUCUUUCCUAUUUCUUCUCACAACACUUGCUAUUUUGGCCCAUUACUACCUAUGCAUCCGUGUCCAGCUUGGUGCUUACAUAAGAGUCAAGCUAUCAUCUCUCUCCUCUUUUUUCUCCUCCACAUCAGCAUUAGCUUGGCUAUAAACUCAUUAUUGUACCUGCUCUAAGAAAUGUGCACAACUAUGACAAAAAUUUAUAUUUUGAAAUGGAUCAUUGGUGAGUGGCCUCGAGCGCUGACUAUUACUCCCUCUCGCCCUGCUCAUAUGCGAAGCAAAAUAUCAUCAAGAGACAAAUAUCAUCACAAAACACUGGCGCCCCCCUCGCCCUACUCAUAUAUGUGAUGCUCUGUUUUAAAACUAUAAUGAAUAUCACUUUGUCAUUAAACCAAUGAUUACAAGUUUGAUAUAUACCAUAUCAACAUCUGAGGUUGUUUAUAAAAUUUUAAAUUUUAGAUUUUAAAUCCGUGAACUUAAAAAAAUAUUUUGAAACUCUAAGUAGUUUUUAAGAAAACAUAUCUCAAUUUACAAAGUUAUAUAUUGCAUGAAGGGCUAGUAAUUUGAUGUAAAGUUUGUCUUCAUCUAAUUUUAUAUGAAAGAGCUAUGGAUUAUAUUUAUAUCAAAAAAUGGUACAAAGAAAAAAAAACAUGCACCACAGGGUGCUCGAACCAAGCAAUACGUGCAAGUGCAAAGCACAGGGGACGGACAGGGCUCGCGCGGGAUUUUUGGAUUGGAGGCGGGAGUGCGUGGCGCAGCCAAGCCAGUGCUUAAGCGCCAUGUGGCCGUGGGCCCAAGUGUCAUAGUGUGUGAAAGAGGAAGAGAGAGGUGGCAGCAGGAAUUUUGGAAGACCGUUGUUGAGGCCUUGUUUAGCCGUCACAUCGAAUCUUGCAGUAUAUACAUAAAACAUUUGAUAUAGAUAAAAAUAACUAAUUACACAAUUUGCUAAUAAUUUGUGAGAACGAAUUUUUUGAGCCUAAUUAGUUUAUAAUUGAACAAUAAUUGCCAAAUACAAACAAAAAUGUUACAGUAAGAUAAAAUUUUAUCUUUUGCUUUGCACGCUCGGUGUUGUUUUUUCUUUCCUAUCUGCUAUAUCAGUUUGGGCAGGGUGCCAACCCAACUUUGCCAUGAACCUAGCUAGACCACGUAAAACCCAACGGCAGGGAGCCAGAGCGUGCAUCUUCUCUGACAAUGACGUGAGCUGCAGUUGCUACCACUGUAGAUUGUUAGUACUGAUGUUAUCCCUGUUGAGCUCAUGUUCAUCCAGCUAUCUUGGAAAUGAAACCAUGUACUUAAUUUGGUGCUUAGUGGUUGUGGGGGUAUAAACCCCUAUACCCUUACGGCUAGACUUCGGCCAGAAAGCUUGGCCCAUUACGAGACGAGUUCAAGGCUUUAUCCGACAACCUGGAGUUUCGCACAAGGAAACAAGAUGGGGAGAUCAAGCAGGAUUCUAGUCGGUUAGAAUAGGAAUUGAUAUCGAAUUAUCCAUGUCAAUUGUAACCGACUAGAAUUAGUUUCCAGAUCUGUAACCCUGCCCUCCAGACUAUAUAAGGAGGGGCAAGGGACCCCCCCUACGACAUACGAUUCUCUCAACACAAAUCAAUACAACCAGACGCAGGACGUAGGUAUUACGCCAACUCGGCGGCCGAACCUGGAUAAAAAGCUUGUCCGUGUCUUGCGUCACCAUCGAGUUCGUAGUUUGCGCACCGUCUACCGAUAAACUACUACCGUGAGUAUACCCCAAGGUAGACUGCCGACUAGCUUUCGUCGACAGUGGCGCGCCAGGUAGGGGGUGUGCGUGCAACUUUUCCGGCGAACAAGAUGGUCACGAUCCCAGCUUCCGCGACCGUGCCCGAAGGCCUCACGUUCACCGUCGGCCAGAUCACGUGGACGACGUGCAGCGGCGGCCUCACGACCACGGUUUCGAAAGAGAUCCAGAUCCAAUCUGAGAUCACGCCGUCUCCGACCACACGCGUGACGGCACCAAGCGCCCGACCACCGUUCCCACUCUACAAGGGAAAGAAGAUCGACUGCUCGGACCUUCUCCAAGCGCUUGAUCGCGCUGACUCCAAGCUACUCGAAGUUUCCCAACUAAUAGACGGAGUUCUGCGUCGGCCCGACCAAGCUGCUCCAGCGGAUUUUUUCAAAUCCCGCCGGCCAACUCGUGUCGCCACACACGAACGGCUGGGAACGUCUCUGACGAUAACCUCAACACCCUCAGGACGAUCCGUCGAGCUCAAGAAGGAAGACUAUCCUUGCGGCCUGAACAACUCGGCCUCUGUUUACUCACAGCACACCCAAUCCGUUUUCAGCAAGGCGGGUUGGUCGCCGACAAGGAACAAUCGUCACUACGUCAACAUGGUGACAAUCCGAGAACUACGGGACGGCCAGGUUUCCAGCACCAACUCAAGCACCGGUUCCGUCCCCACCGAGGUUAUAAACACCGAAGACGAGGACUACGACUUGGAUUUUCCUUCACACCCUCCGGGUUUCAACCGAUUCCCGAUAUUCCCCCCCCCCCGGCGAGGGGAUAUUGUGUUCAAUGUCAGCGCCGACGAACCGGUCGUUGAUGGAGAAACAGAUGACCAGAGGCAACUCCGCGAACAGCGUAACGCCGAUCGCGCCCGACGACGCGCAGACGAGCAACAACAAAUGCCACCAAAUAAUCUCAACGAUGCCUUUGACAUGGUCGGGGACCAGCCAGUCUACAAAACGCCAAGCGCCAACGUGGCUGUCGCCAUGGCUAACCUAGAUCGGCUUCCUGAUACCCCCGAAUGCCAGGGAGUCCGGACCAGCAUCCGAGCACACCUGAUCGCUGCAAUGGGACAGACAGCCACUCUGCUCAAGAGAGUCCAGGACGUCUCUUAUACGGAAGCCGCCUCCGACCAGACUAAUCGAAGCCGGGCCUCACCCAGCAGGCGUCACCGCAGCCGCUCCCCCGACAACCGUCGAGGGGACUCACGGCGCGACGAUGGUGGUCGGGACGCCGACGGUCACCGCAAGCAGAACCGCGUACGUGGCCAAGAAGUAAAUCAGCACAGGGAUCUCCGCCACAACAUCCCUCCCAAAGAUGCCCGGGACCGCAUCAACAGGCGCGCCGCAGAGAGAGCAGUCCACGAAAACCUGCGCCGCAUCGAGUACGAUGCAACGCACGGUCCUCCGGGCCUAAGACAGUUCUCCUCACACCUCCGCCAGGUCGUGUGGCCCCGCAAUUUCAAGCUCGAAAAACUUAAAAAAUACGACGGCAAGGAAAAUCCAGAGAACUGGAUCACCCUCUAUGAAAUCGCCGUCCGAUCAGCGGCAGGGGAUGAGCACGUCAUGGCUAACUACUUCCCCGUAGUCCUCGACCAGGCUGGUCAUCAGUGGCUUCUCGGCUUGCCCGAGGACUCCUUCGACUCUUGGGAAGAGCUACGCCAGGCUUUCAUCGACAACUUCAUCGCCACAUGCGAGCAGCCUGGAAACAAGUAUGACCUUGAAAGGAUAAGGGACAGGAAGAACGAACCUCUGCGCGAUUACAUCCGACGAUUCUCGGAUAUGCGCCUCAAAAUCCCGAAGAUUUCCCAUGACGAGGCCAUCUCAGCCUUCAUCAAGGGCCUGCGUUUCCACGAAGCGCUGAGGAACAAGCUGUUGCGUAAACGUCCAACAACGGUAGCAGAGCUCCUCGCCACGGCCAAAAAUUACGCCGAUGCCAAUGACGCAGAAAAACUAAUCCGAGACGAUGCGAGAGGUCCCGACCAGCCUCCCCGGCGAGAUGACGGUCGUGGUCGCUACGACAGUAGAAACCACCGCCGCUCCGACAACCGCGAUCACCGAGAGGGUUGGGAUCGGCGGCGCGACAGCCGCGACGACUUCAGAGGAAAGCGCCCUCGCGACUACGACCACGAAGUAAAUACGGUCAAACGUCCCAAUGGACGACGGGACUACCAAGAAGACUACAACAAAACGUUGAAGGGACCAUGCCAACUACAUCCAAAGUCCAAUCAUACCAUGGAAGAGUGCCGCGUCCUCAAAAGUAUCUAUACACGGCGGGCCGCCCAAGACGACUCCGCCAAGAAAAAUAACAAGCGUGACGGGCAUGACCACGAAGAUGAGGACGAGGACCAAGAUAGGGACCCCCGACACCAGUACGUCAGCCCCACUGACGUGGUCCACUCCAUUUUCGGGGGCAAGGUCUCCAUUGAAUCUAAGCGAGAAAGAAAGCUGUUAAAGAGAGCUUGCCUCAACAUAGACAGCACAGACGGGCUGAUCACAGACCCAAAAUUCCCCCCGUGGUCCCACAGGGAGAUCUCGUUCAGCAGGAAGGACCAGUGGGCCGCUAUCCCAGAGCCGGGUCGUUUUCCCCUGAUUCUGGACCUUUGCAUCAACAGAAUCAGAUUCGAGCGCGUGCUCGUGGACGGGGGAAGCUCCAUUGACAUCCUCUUUCGCAACAGCCUGCCCGCCCUCAAGAUAUCUCCUGCACAACUAAAACCUUACGACGCCCAAUUCUGGGGGGUUUUGCCAGGUCAAAGUUCAGUGCCUCUCGGACAGAUAACAUUGCCUGUCCAAUUCGGCACACCCGACCACUUCCGGACGGAGUUCAUCAACUUCGUAGUCGCGGAUUUCGACGGGACCUAUCACGCCAUACUGGGCCGACCAUCGCUGACAAAGUUCAUGGCAGUCCCGCACUACUCAUACCUAGUCCUUAAGAUGCCCACGGAGAAGGGUGUCCUAACCGUCAGAGGCAACGUCUACACUGCGUACACCUGCGAAGAAGAAAGCUUCAAGAUCACCGAGGCAAUCGACCUCUCAAUCCGCACGGCAGAAACAGCAAACCAAGCCGCACAGCUGCCUCCCGACCAGCUCCGACUACCCGAACAGGCGACAGCCAGGAAGAACUCAAAAUCCAAGGAGUACAAAGAAGUGCAGCUGGUCGAAGGCAGCCCCGAGAAGACAGCCCUCAUCGGGGCCAACCUGGAUCCAAAAUAGGAAGACGCGCUCGUCAGGUUUCUAAGGGACAACGUGAGCGUUUUCGCAUGGAAACCCGCAGACAUGCCCGGUGUCCCACGAAACCUGAUCGAGCACUCCUUAAAUGUCUCGAAGACCGCAAGACCAAUCAAGCAAAAACUGCGACGGUUCGCUCGUGACAAAAGGGAGGCUAUUAGGACAGAAAUAACACAGCUUCUAGCAGCCGGAUUCAUAAAAGAAGUGUAUCACCCCGAUUGGCUCGCCAAUCCGGUUCUUGUACGCAAAAAGAAUAAUGAAUGGAGAAUGUGCGUUGAUUACACUGAUCUCAAUAAACACUGUCCUAAAGAUCCUUUUGGUCUCCCUCGCAUCGACGAGGUGGUCGACUCAACGGUCGGAUGCGAACUCCUCUCCUUUCUAGACUGCUACUCUGGUUAUCACCAGAUCUCGCUAAAGGAAGAAGAUCAGAUCAAAACGUCUUUUAUUACACCUUACGGCGCAUACUGCUACACGACCAUGUCUUUCGGACUCAAAAACGCCGGAGCCACUUAUCAACGGGCCAUCCAGCAAUGCCUCCACGACGAGAUUCGCGAUGACCUCGUCGAGGCCUAUGUAGACGACGUGGUCGUAAAAACAAGGGACGCGAGCACCCUAAUCGACAACUUAGACCGAACUUUCAAGGCGCUCAAUAGGUACAAGUGGAAGCUCAACCCCAAGAAGUGCAUUUUCGGCGUUCCUUCCGAUCUACUGCUCGACAACGUCGUCAGUCGCGACGGCAUACGACCAAACCCUUCAAAAGUCAAAGUCGUACUCGACAUGCGACCACCGAAGAACGUCAAGGAUAUUCAGAAGCUAACCGGAUGUAUGGCCGCCCUUAGUCGUUUCAUCUCAAGGCUGGGAGAAAAAGGCCUCCCUUUCUUCAAACUAUUGAAAGCGUCAGAAAAAUUUUCUUGGACAGAGGAAGCCGACGCUGCGUUCACUCAGCUUAAGACCUUCCUCACUUCACCACCUGUCCUCACAGCGCCUCAGCCCAAUGAAGACCUACUUCUUUACAUUGCUGCAACCGACAGGGUUGUUUCCACGGCAAUAGUGGUCGAGCGAGAUGAACCAGGUCACGCCUACAAGGUCCAGAGACCCGUUUACUUCAUAAGUGAAGUCUUAAACGAGUCCAAGGCCAGGUAUCCACAAAUACAGAAGCUUAUAUACGCCAUUCUGAUAACGUCAAGAAAGCUGAAGCACUACUUCGACGGCCAUCGAGUCCUGGUGACAACCAGUUUCCCUCUCGGGGACAUCCUGCGCAAUAAAGACGCCAAUGGCAGAAUCGUGAAAUGGGCGAUGGAAUUGUGCCCAUUUUCCCUGGAGUUCCAGAGCCGAACUACGGUCAAGUCUCAGGCCCUGGUCGAUUUCAUUGCUGAAUGGACGGAUCUCAAUGAGCCUCCCGUUCCCGAUGUCUCAGACCACUGGACAAUGUUCUUUGACGGGUCCUUGAACAUCAACGGUGCCGGCGCUGGGAUACUGUUCGUAUCACCCAACAAGGACAAACUGCGUUACGUCCUUCGGAUCCUUUUUCCGGCGUCAAACAACGUCGCCGAAUACGAAGCAUGCUUGCAUGGCAUAAGACUAGCCGUUGAGCUGGGAAUCAAGCGACUCUAUGUCUAUGGCGACUCCGCUUUGGUCAUCAACCAGCUCAACAAGGAGUGGGACGCAACCCACGAGAAGAUGGAUCUCUACUGCAAAGAAAUUCGCAAAUGGGAAACCAACUUCUACGGCAUAGAGUACAUCCACGUGGUCCGGGAUAAGAACCAAGUAGCAGAUGCGUUGUCGAAGUUAGGCUCAUCUCGGGCCCAGAUCCCACGGGGUAUUUUCGUCCAGGACAUCCACGAGCCGAGCGUAGGCUCCUCCCUGGUCGACAAGCAACCCACCGAGGCAAUGCUCAUAGACGACGCCACUCCGACAACCGGUGGGCGUGACUGGCGUACCCCGUUCAUCAAAUACAUAUCGGACGGGACAGGCCUUCAGGACAAAACACAGAACGAGCGCCUCAUUCGACGAUCAAAGAACUACAUCCUGGUCGACGGCAAACUCAUGCGGAAAAACGCAAGCUCCGAAGUACUGCUCAAGAGCAUACCCCAAGAUGAUGGUAUCAAGCUCUUAGAGGACAUACAUGCUGGAUCCUGCGGCAAUCACGCCGCAUCCAGAACGCUGGUCGGAAAGGCUUUCCGAGCAGGUUUUUAUUGGCCAACCGCGGUCGGCGACGCAGAAAAACUGGUUCGACAUUGCGAAGGAUGUCAGUUUUUCGCUAAGAGGACCCACGUACCUGCCCACGAAAUUCAAAACAUCCCGUCGUCUUGGCCCUUUGCUUGCUGGGGGCUCGACAUGAUCGGGCCAUUUAAACCAGCCCCGGGCAAUUUCAAGUUUGUUUUCGUGUUAAUCGACAAGUUCUCCAAGUGGAUUGAAUACAUGCCUCUGGUCAAGGCAACCUCCGAGAAGGCUGUGGAGUUCCUCAAUCAAAUCAUACACAGAUUCGGCAUCCCGAACAGCAUAAUCACCGACCUGGGCACUCAGUUUACUGGCACCACUUUUUGGGACUUCUGCGAUGACAGAGGCAUAGUCAUAAAAUACGUGUCAGUGGCACACCCACGUGCCAACGGUCAAGUUGAACGUGCUAACGGAAUGAUCGUUGACGCCCUAAAGAAAAGGUUGUACACCGAAAACGACAGAGCACCCGGUCGAUGGAUGAAAGAAUUGCCGGCAGUGGUCUGGGGCCUCCGAACUCAGACCAGUCGAAACACAGGGGUGUCUCCCUACUUCAUGGUGUACGGUGCAGAGGCGGUCCUGCCGUCUGACAUACACUUCGGAUCUCCUAGAAUCGAACACUUCGACCAGGCGACCGCUGACAACGCCACAGAACUCGAAAUCAAUUGCAUGGAGGAAAAGCGUUUAGAUUCUUGUCUCCGAACAGCAAAAUAUCUCGCGGCAAUCAGGCGAUACUACAACAGGAACGUCAAGGACCGUUCCUUCGUGGUCGGCGAUCUGGUACUUCGAUGGAAAACAAGCCAGGAGGGAAUGCACAAGCUAUCCACUCCCUGGGAAGGACCCUUCAUGGUGACCGAGGUCACACGACCUACGUCCUACAGAUUGGCAUACCCAGACGGAACACGAGUGCCUAACUCUUGGCACAUAGACAAACUGCGACGUUUCUAUCCAUAAAGUUUUAAUAACUUUCCUUUGUAAGUAUCUUAUAAUUGUUGAUAAUGAAAUUCUCUAUUUUUUGCCUAUACCUUGUCGCACACAGCACUCGGCAAAACGCCUGCAAUGGAUGCUCUUAACGACUACCAAGACGAAUACGGUGACACGUCACUCAGAUAUUCUUACAGCGCUCAAAACAACAGUCAUGACAAAAAGCAAACUUUAUUACAAACUUUACAUACAAAGUUUACAACAAAUACCCUGACGGGCAGACACUAGUCUAUUCCUACAGACUACUCUAUUGGCCUAGCUGCUCGGCCUGAUCACCCGCCUGGCCCUGCUGCCCGGACGAAGGGGUCGGGG